AAAAUUAAAAUGUAAUUAAUUAAAUUCUUUUCCUAUUUCUUAUGAACUUCUCUUCACCGAUUUCUUUUUAACUGUCACGGUGGCAUAUUUGCAGGAGUAUUCUACUGCGGAGCCCCAGUACUGGCGCAAGAACUAGGCAGACUUUGCUAUGAGUUCAAUCAAAAAGGCACCACCAAAUUUGAAUUCCACAAGGAGCAUUUCUAAACUCUUCUCUUGUACAGCCUCUUUUAUAUAUAUAUAUAUAUCCUUUUUGUGUAAAGUAUAGGGAUUAGGAAAUAAGAAAAGUAUAGGAGUACCAGGCACCAUAUAUGCUUAGUAUAUACUCCUCAAAGAUGAGGUAGCAAAAGUGGAAAAAAGAAAAAGAAAAUGGCAGUUGAUUAUCUUGAAUGUUUAUUUAAAUAAGAUGGAGAUUUCAUAUUGCAAUUGAACUGUCUAUAAUAAUUCCUGCACAGAGUGUGUUGGUUAUUAUUUAGAGUACUAUUUAGGAGGUGGCAAAUACCCAAAGCCACUCGUUGAUGUACUAUUUCUAUUAUUAGUUAGUUAUGUGAAAAGAAAAGUGUACAUCUUACGAUUAUUUUAUGUCAUAUUUGUAAAUGGCAAGCAACUGCUAUAAAAUAAACAGAAUUUUUUUCUUUUGUUUGCCAGUCUUUCUGUUUUUAAUUUAUUGGCAUAUCCUUAUCAUGAUUUUAGAGUAAUCUGCAAAAUAGUGGGCGUAGAAUUUUUUUACAUAAAAAAGGGGUUAUUAUUAUUGACAUAUAAAUAGCAAGUAUUUAAAUCUUAGGUCUCUUCCCCAUUCUUUUUGCUUGGUUUACUGUAGUGACACUCCAGUUGCUAUCAUAUCAUAAUAGAAUUAAAUUGAUUUGCAAUUUUAUGAGUUGAAGUGAAUUGAUGCUGCCUUUUUUUUUGGAAUAAAAAAAGAAGUAUGAAUUUUAUUGUCUACUAUUCCUGGUUCGUCCUUGGUGAUAUUACGUAUAAUAAAAUUUUGGAAGGAUACUUGUGAAUAAAUGAUUUAUUAAUCUGUAAAAUAUAAUAAAUAAUGGUAAAUCUGAGCUUAAACCAAUAGAAUAAAAAAUUUAAAUAUCCAACGGCACAAAAUGUGCCCAUGUGCCGAUAACAUAUUGGCACAAUACAAUCCCAUGCCAACAACAUGAUUCAAAGUCCUCUUUUUGUUGAAAUUAGCAAAUAAUUAUCAUAAAAAAAUAUAAAACAAUUGAUAAAAAUAAUAUAAUAAGUAAUUAAAAAUAUAUAAAUGGUGGAAAAAAAAUAAAUAUUUCAUAUCACAGCAAAUCAGCUUACACAUUUUAUGAUUAAUAUAUAUCAGCCCACCACGGCACGAACGCAUCAUAGGAAACGUUACCGACAAAUUCUCGAUUCAAUCCCCCCAACCAAAAACACCACGCUGUGAUCUAUUAACUCUUCGACAUUUUUCGGCACAUUGAAUCUACAUCACAUUUUACAGCAAAUUGAACUAUAUGUCGAAUAACAGGAGAAUCCUCAUCUGCUUAAAUUGCCUUCGUUUUUUUUUUUUUUCUUUUUCUUUUUUUACAGGGAAAAGGGGGGAAAAAAUCAAUGCAAUUGGAAUAUGAUUUACAGACAAGAUAUUAACAAAUGGAACGAAUUUACUAUAACAAAUUCCGAGUAAUAUCAUCUGCAAGGAUCUCAUUGUGUCGUUGCCGCGUCAUCCCGCGCUAAUACGAGUAUCUUGGAGGCGGUCUUGAGAGCAGAUUUCGUUCCGAUUGAUCCGUAGAGGAUGUAAGCGGCACGGUCGCGAAUUCGGUGUCAGGGUGUUGGAGUAGUUGGCUUUGUUUUGAAGAGCUAAAUGUUUGGUUUGUUGAGGGAUAAACAGGGGGAAGAUUAGAAGCAUUACUGGUGCUAGGACUGGUGGUGCUUUUCUCCUGUGUGUUUGAUGAAACUCUAGAAGCUUCCGCAGAUUCCCUUCUCUCUCUUUCUUCGGUUUCCUUGAGAAGAAAGUCGACCCACAGGUCCGCAAACGACUGGCCAAGCGGGAAAGAAAAAUGUUCGUCAUUAUAUAUUAUGGAAAACUUAUUGCAUUAUAUGAAAUAUGUCAUAUAUUCAUAGUAAUGUAACUUUAAAGAGGAAACAACUUGGAACCAUUCGAUAACCAAGUUCCAGUAUACGUUAAUUUUUCCGAUGAGCAAAUAAUGCCACAACUAGAAAAAGAUUUGAGACAACAGUAGAAUAACUCCCAAUACAUUACAUUCAUCGGAUAUUUGCCUAUGUGGUCCUCUCUUUCUUUCUCAAAAAAAAAGAAACCCCCCACGUUUAUGUUCCCUGAUAUGAAUUAUAUAUGAUUAACAUAAUUGUUGUUAUCAUGUCGGUCCUCAUAGCGAACUACCAAUAUGAUUGACACAUAGACCGUAAUCGUAAUCAUGUCAUUUCUUCUACAGAACAAAGAACCUGCAAAGCUACUUCUUUACAGUCUGAGUGGUUUCCAGGCUAUUUAAACAUCAACAGGGAAUAUCACAAACACCACCAUUAACUGGAUGACUACCCAUAGAAAAUACAUGAUUGAGAGGUAAAUAUGAAAAUUCAGACUUUCAUAAUAAUAUAUAUGUAAUCAGAGAACUUUGAGCCAAAAAAAUAUUCUCACCUGAUUUUCAGAAGGCAUUUUAGUAGAUGUUUCUUGCGAGUGUCCGCCCAGAAUUCCUCCAACAAGACGCCCUGGUAGACCCAAAACUCCUCUAACAACACCUUUGCCCGCAGCAUGUUGAGCAAAACCUAUUCUUUGUUUAUCUUCUUCCGAAAACCCUAGCAUGCGAACCAUAAGAUCCAGAACCUAGAAUACCCAAAACAUACAAAUUAGCCCAUAAUCAUGUGAAGGAAUGGAAAACCUGAGAAUCAACACUGACAUAUGAUAAAGAAAGAAAAAUACCUCUUUGCUAUGAUUUCUCUGGAAAUAGGUCACCAGCAACUUUAUCACUAUGCGCCUGCAAGUCGCCAAGUGUCGAUUAAUUUUGGCUCAAUGCUCGAGAAGACAAAGUUAAAAAUACGGGAAAAUCUAUCACAGUUACUCUUAACUUUCAAAGUUUUGGCAUGGUUCACAUGUUAGGAAAUAUAUACAGAAUUAUCAAAUAUAAAAGCUAAUUUUGCAAAUUGUGUAUCAAAAGAAAUAAAUUCAGAAUGGCCAAAAAAUGACAAAUCUUGAUAAAAACUGUAAUAAAUGACUAAUAGAAUACCUGUCAACAUAAUUAUCUGAAUCCAGCGACAUUCUAUUCAGUGUCGUCAUACUCUGCUCUAAGGCUCGGCGUAGUCUUGAAUUGUCUUCCUCAAGCUUCUGCAUUGAGUGCCUGCCCUCUGCCAAAAUUCUUUCACUUUGCGAAAGUUUAGCAGCUAUCUCUUCCUUCUCCUUUAUUGAUAGUUCGAGCUGCUGAUUUGCAACCUGAGGACGAAAAAAAGGAAAAUUAUCUAAAAUUUGUAGGCCCAAAUGAUAUUGGCACAGGAAAAACCUAGACAUUUUGCAGAACAGAAAAUUAAAUAAAAUUCACUGGGAAGUGAAAAACUAGACAAUCUGUGAGAGAAUGGACAGUUCAAAAAAUUUCAUUAUAGAAAAGCAAAGUAGAAAAUUUACACUUAAAAAGGAAUAAUUAGCUCAGGUAAACUAACGUGUAUAGCCAUUGAGAAUACAAUCAUAUCAGCAUUUAAAAUCAUGCUAACUCUAACGCAACUGCAAUUGUUUAUGUAAGAUCUAUAUUCAAUGCCAGCAACCAAUCCUAACAAAACAUGAGACAAAAUUUUCCAUUCAACAGACUUAUCAUUAUUAGUUCUCAGAUACUAACAGCUUGGCUUCCCUAUUUCUUGGCCUCCCUAUUGUAGUUCCAGAACAUAGAAGAGGAGUUCAUUCAGAAAACUAAUUUGAACAAAUUUUGCCUUUCAAUUAACAUAGAUAAGCUAAGAUACCAAUAGGUAAUAUGACCAAUAUAUUCAGAGGUGACAAAUUAUUGCCCCGACUGGGGCCAUUGUCACAGAUGUUGAUCUCCAAUUCCCUGCAAUCUCUACUUCCAAUCUUCACCGCAAAGUGAAUGGCAACCUUAUUGAUUUAGAAAUUAUUUUCUUUGAACAGUGAUAUGAGCGAUCGAAUUGAAAGUAUGAGAUGGAAGUGGUCGAAGACCAAAGAACAAUUUUUCUUCAGACAUGAGCACUAAUUUUUCUUCAGAACUGAGUGGAAGUUCUACAAUCUACAUACCUUUAAAGAUUCAGAGACUUUAGAAAGUUCUUCUCUUGCUGAUGCCAAAUCUCUUCCAAGUCGUUCCUGUAAAGUGUAAAAAGGCAUUCACAUAAAGCCAAGCAUCAACUUCUGAUAUUCUGUAGAUAGUAUGUCUAUUUCAAAAUAACAAAAGAGAAUAAUCAGCACUAAUAGUGCAUGCACAAAGCAGUUUACAAUCACCUUAGCUUCACUCUCAGCAUAGUAUUGUCCAAGGGCCGUCUGAAGAUUAACCAGUUCGAUAUUUUUAGAUUCAAGUGCGCUCAUACAGCUCGUGAGUUUUUGCUUUAAAUCAUGGAUAAUUUCAUUUGACUUCUGAAGUUCAUCAUUUGUUAGCUUCUUAAUAUCCUCCCUCUUAGCUAUCUCCUGCUUCAAGGCCCUUUCCAACUGCAAUAUAUGGUUUUUUUGGUAUUCACAAUUUGCUCUGAGUUCUUCAAUCAUUUUGGUAUCUUCAUCCAUCUUUUCUGAAUCUUCUUGCUCCUAUAAAAUCCAAUAUAAGAGAAAGCAUCUUCAGUCGAAUUGCAGGUAAGAGAAUGGCAAAAAUUAAAUAAAAGUACGAUUUUCUUGAGCUUGCCCCAAAGCCCCUAACCUGAACCCCCCAACACAUAAAAUUGUUUUAAUACCCAAGAAGCCGGAGGAACGAGCUCCUUUUUGUAAAAGCGCAAGUGGUGAUCGAACCCCAACCUCAAGGAUGGCAACCCGGGAAACCACUUGGGCUAGGCCAGUAGUUGUUAGUCAAAAGCAUGACUUGAAAAUAAAAGGAACAUUAUCGACAAUCCAGUAAGGGCUCAGAUACAAAUAUCAAGUUUUGAUGAGCAAUACUGAAAUAAAUGGGAUGUACUUCUGUAGACAAACAUUUUCAAAAUAAAUAUAAAAUAUCCUAUAUAUACUUAUGUUGGGAAAAGCUCAGUUGAAUUCUGCGUAACCUUAGAGAAAAAUUGCACUAGGAAGCAAUAAAUAAGGAUUUGCAACAGCUGCAGUGAUAAUCAGAAUAAUUAAAAAAAGUUCAAAAUAUGUCCUUGGGAAACUGAAUAUUAUUAAGAGAAGAAAAAGAAGUACUUUAUCUAGCAGAUGCUGCUUUAGCCGAUCCAAUUGGUGCAAUGUUUUGUCACGUUCUUUGCGAGUUUCUUUUAGUGCUUCCUCCAAUGUAUGUAUGGUCAAUGACAUCUCUUCUUUGACCUUCAAAGUUGGAAUAACUAACACAUUAGUACUAAUUAGAAAGGAUAAAAGGAAAUGUUAUUUCCUUCUCUAAUUAAAGGAUUGAGAAAUUUAAUUACACCAUAAUUUUUGUACAAUAGACGAUUGAUAACAUUUCAUGCUGUCAACUUGUGAAUAUUGUGCAAUAUCAAAACUGGAGGUUUUGUUUACAAGGCACAGGUAUUGCCGAUAUAAUACAAUGGUACAAUGGUACAAAGGUAAUGGCGGUGAUUCAAAACAACAUGUCGGCUGCCGAUAAAUAUUCAAUCACAAUAGUCACCUAAAUGGGAGGAAAAACACCUACCUUGUGCCAGUCAGGCUCCUCGUUCUGAGUAUCAAAAGCUUCAUCACCUUUUUUCCCAGCUGUACUCGUCAUAAGUUUCAGAUUUGCUUCAAGCUCGCCCUUCUCUAACUACAAAAGAAGUACAUUUAAUCAGAAUAAUUUCAAGAAACUCAACUACCCGGUUAACGUCUUCAAUAAAUUUUACUAAUAGUCUCUAAUAUAAUAAAUUAAGUAAAAAUGAAAUACUAAUCCAAUUUGAGCGCAGUAUAAUAUGACAAAUUACAUGUUUCACCAAAAAAUGCUCGUAUAGACCUUUAGUUGGGCAUUUUCUUUCUGUAGAUUCAAUAUCACACUUCUCAAAUGCUGUAGAGAUUCAUCUGAUACUUCUUCACUGCCCCUUCUGUUUAACUCCUCUUGGACUCGUCUUAAUUCUGAUACUUUCUCAUUUAGCUCCUUGCGCAACUCUUUCAUUUCAGUUGAGGCCUACCAGCAAAAUAUAAGGAUAUGAAUUCUACAAUAGAAAAGGCAGUGGAAGCAGGGGAAAAAAAAAAGAAAAAGAAAGGCUUUUACAUGUAUCCCGGCAAAGCCAUUUCUACAAUAUACUCUCAUAAAGUAAUUUCUAACAAAAAAUGCGAGUAUGAUAAGUUGGGGAGACAUCAGGUUCAUGGGCAAGUUGAUUUUCCAUCAAAAGGAUUUCUAAACAUGGGGUUUUUCUGUAAGUAUGAGAUUGUACUUACAUAAGAAAUAAGGUUUCUGAAGGGUACAAGGGCAUAUGGCAAAAUUUAUUUGGCAGGAAUAUGUAUGAUAGAUACAAAAUUUGCAGGUUAUACAUGCAAAUAUAACGUCCACAAGGAGGACGCUGGAAUGUUGACCCAUAUUAUACAGGCUUCUGUAAUCAGGGAUUUCCAAGAUAUAUAUAAAGAAGAAUUCAUAGAAAGACCAACCUAAAACUAAAAUUUAAAUAUUUAACUCACCUUCUCCUUGUCCGCCUUUAUUUCCUGAAGCUCCCUUUCGAAAGAUGAGUUGUGCUGGUAUUCAUCUAAAAGUUAAAAUAGGAGAGAGAUUUAAAACUGGCGAGUAAUUGAGCAUAAAAGGGAGCUCGAGAGUAUACUGAGCACAGUCACAAAGAAGAGUGUAAGGCACAUUGCAUCACACUGUACCUUCUAACUUCUGCUUUAAGAUUGUUGCCUUUUCUUGCUCAUUCUCGAGUUGUGACCUCAAUUGUUUAAUUUGAGAUUCGAGAUUAGCUUGUCUUCCUGCCAAAGAUCUGUUUUUUUCUUCCAACACAUCUAAAUAUUCCUACAACUCGAUCAAAUACUGAAGUCAAACAACUAAUUACAUAACAAAGACAAAGUAACAUUUGUUUCUCAAUACAAAAGAACAGACAAAAGUGAAAAAAUAUAGGAUUGGUUACAAAGUUCGACCCUGAAGCUUCACCCCAAUUUUCAAUUUCAAGCUCAUAUUUCAACUGUAACAACUUAUCUCAGAAGUUUGACCCCAAUUUGAAUUCAUCCUCGAGGAUUCAACUUUAACCCUGAAGUUUGGCCUCGAUUUAAAAUUUUCCCUAAAGCCAUCCUCCAAGUUUCGAUGUAAAAUAAGGAAGUUUAAAGAUAGUAAUGACAUGGCACCUCUGUCGAUGGACUAAAGGGAGGGCAUAAUAGCUCGGUAAAACAAACUUCAUAGGUUAAAUUGUUGGCAUUAAAACAAUGACCCAAAAUUAAAAAAUAGGUCAAAUUCAGGGAAGAAUUUGAAAGUAAAUCGUUCAAACAUAUAAUGAUGUAGCCAAACUCCUGAUAUUUUUUGAAGUUAGGAAUACACUAAAGCAUAAAAGCUCACAGCCUCACAGAUCAUUUAGUUCAUUUGAAAUUUGAGGAGAACAGAUUAGAUGAAUCAGGCUAUGAGUACCUUUUCGAUCCCCAGUGAGCUUGCAGGUUUAUGCAUGCCAUUUAGUGCAACAGCUUGUGCAGAACCAUUGCUAUAUCCAUCCUUUUUGGGGAUAUUAACAUUCCCUGCAUGGCUUCCAAAACGAGAAUUAUCUCCAGUAGCAUGCCGCUGUACUUUAGCAAGUGAUUGUUCAGAAGUUACCUGUGAUAAUCGUCAUCAGCAAAUUUAACUCAAAAAAAUUGAUUGUAUAGCUUUCUAGGAAACUUCUUGCAAGACUAUUGACUACAUUUACAGAAGGAGACCAGAGGAUUCUCAUGUAAACCUUAUGUAUGAAAGGGUGUAAACAGAAAUUAGAAUAAUCAGUUAUUUAAUUACAGAGUAUAUCUAUGUAUAACCAAAUAUUUAAGAUCCUGAGGUAUAAAACCAUAACAAAAAAAAAAACCCAACGAAGAUAGUAAAAGAACCGCAAGUAUCAUGAUGACAUCAAAAAUACCAAAUACCACAUUGAAGGCUAGCCGGUCGCACAACAACUUGAGCCUUGAGUACAGUCUCAAUGAAAACAAAAUUAUUACGCUGAUUAUACCGGACUGAUAAUUUUUCAUUCAAUAAAGUUAACCUACCAACAAGCUGCAUAACUUACAUCUUAUUGCACAGAAAGUAUUAGAAAGAUUGUCUUCAGCAGAUAAGAGAUCCUUGAUAGUGUUCAAAAUUUCGGAUUACUUAUAAGCAUUCUGAAUACUUACUUUUGUUUCCAGACUUCUUCUCAAAGAUUCAUUCUCUUCAUGUAAUUUAGAAAGCUGCUCCUGUCAGACGUUAAAUAAAAAAAGAAAUAAAAUAAAAUAAAUAGCUGCCUUAGAGAUAGCUUUCAAAACAUUUAUGACAAUCGGCAGACACUAUUACGUGCUUUCAACUACAUUAGAACUUCCACAAAAUUUGGUUCCCCACAAUUUAUUCCUCAAUAAAUACCAGAAUUACUGGGACACAUGAAACUAAUCAACAUAAUUAAUGGGCCACAAAAAUAACUAAUCAACAUAAAAAGUCUCCAUUAUUUUCCAUCAAGAUGUUGCCAAAUCAACAACAUAAUAGAGGGGAAAGUAUUAAAAGUAAGCAUUAAUGACAAACUAGAACUUUUGAAACCAAAUGAUAAACAAAUAUAGCAUGUAUUAUGUAGUUUAUAUAUUGUCCGCAGCUAGAGGGACUAAGUUUUUCUACUAUAGAUAUAAGGAGUCAAAAAUCUGAACUAAGCUAGAUAAAUUGUAUUCAAUUAGACAAGAAGGAGACACUCUCUCAGCAUAUGAACUUUUGCAGAAGAAAACUUGAAUUUGUUGAAUCCGACUAACAGGAAGGUGGCAAUAAAGUAAAUGCUUCAGGGCAAACAUGACUUUUCUUUUUAACAGCAUAAUUUACUCCUCUGAACAAAUAACAUAUAAUAUAAUGUGUCAACAGCUAGAAGCCUAGAAACCACAAAAACAGAUAGGAAAAGUUUAGAUACAAUGAACACUCUACUUGAAUUUUUAAGUAAUGAACCAAUAAGAAGAUUUGUUUAAUUUACAGUACAGCAGCGCAGGAAACAAUCAAAUCCUGAAAUGUUAUACAAAAAGUAGCAAUAUUUCAAGGAUGGACCUCUUUCUCCUUCAACAUCGCCGCAUAAUUAAAAGAAAGCGCCUUGAUUUCAGCCUCAGAUGCUUGAAGCUUCUGAAUUUCUUCUUUGUAUUUUGCAAUCUGCCAGAAAAGAAAAGCAUGAAAAAAUUCCACUAUUGGUCGAGAAUAAUUUGUUACUGAAAUUUGAUAAGAUGAAAGGUCCUUCAACAUACUAUAGCUCGACACACUAGAUCAACCCUUCCAACUUUUUAACAAAGGAAACAAAAAUUCAAUAGUUUCAAAAUUAACAUUUCCGCAGAAAUAACAAGAGGAUCAACUCAACCGUAUUUAGUUUCGAUUUCAUUUAAGGUGUUUUACAAACGCUAAUGUUUUACCUCCUUUUUACAUAUUUUAUGAGUUAUAUAGUCCAUCAAAAAUCUUGAAAAAAAAUAAUAGUUAAUUCAACUUUUUUAUGUGCGAAGACUUUAAGCUCAUGCAUUGACUUCUCAUUUCUCAAGGACGCAGCAGGUACUUCGCAUCGACGGUUUGCUUCUGGUUUCAAUUUCCCAAUGGUUUACUUUCAGUUUUUUUGUAUAAAUAUGUUGCUCCUUCGCUGCUUCACUUCUGAAUUUAUCAAUACCUAAAUGGAAUCUGCAAUUUUAACAACCGUAGUACCAAUUAGAGGUUCCGGCACUACCUAAAAGCCUAUUUUUCAGAGCUUCUGAAAGAACUACUAAUCUAGAAAAUGUUUCACAGCCAAAAGGUCUGAAUUGUCCGGAUGUGCCGGGAAGCCGAGGUUGGCUUCUAGGCCCCAAAUCAUGAGCUCUAAUAGUUUGAACAGACUCCGCAUACUGAAAAAAUGAUAACAUCUACUUGGAUUCCCGCAACCAAGUAUUGCGAACCUCAUUUUAACAACUCGAAAACAUAAUUCACUAGUCACUACUCCAAUCAUCAAAAAAUUCCACCGCUAAUGUCAUAUCAAUACAAAAACCCUAAUUCGUGCGACGAAUUGGUAACGAGAAGAUUCCGAUCCCCAAUGGAGCCCAUACCUCGCCAUGAGCCUCGGAAUCGGCCCCAUUGCCCACCGGCGAGCCGUGCGGCGGCGUCGCCCGCGAGGAUCGCCGCGGGAAGCGGCGCGCAGAGACGGGCGAGACCUCGCCUCGGGAUUCGGGGAUCUCGAGCUCGUCCUCGCCGUCCAAGACCUCGCUCGCGAUCCGGGAGAGGCUCUCCCUGUAGUUGGAGAUCGAACUCCGCAUGGCGACGAGCUCUGAUCGAAUUUGGCGAUCCCCUUCGAAUCGAGAUUUAGGGCGAAGGGAUUAGGGUUUGGGCAGUAGAUCGAUAAGUAGAUCUGAGGAAGAGGGCGAUGGGGGGAAGGGGCGAGGACGACGAUGGUUUGGAUUUCCGUUUUUCUAUUUUUUUCAAUUUAUAUUUAUAUAUAUAUAUAUAUAUAUAUAUAUAUAUAUAUACAGCCACGAACCGAAGCGUUUUUAAAAAUAAAAAGCAAUUUGCAUAAAAAAUUCUCUUAUGGCUUUUGCAAAACUGGGCCUCCUCUUUCAUUUUUACAGAUUCGGUCCGAAUUUCAGCAAACUAACCAAAAUACCCUUUAUUUUUCUCUCUCCCUCUUUCUCUCUCCUCUGCGUUUCUCUCGUUCUUUUUUUUUCUCUCGCCAAAAGAAUAAUGAAGGCAGAGGCGAAGGCGAAACAGUCUGCUCGCCUCUCACCUCAUGCUUUCGCCCUCACCCUUGCCCUCGCCCACGCAUCCCCCACCUUCCUCGCCUCCGAUUCCGCGAGGCCGGCGCCUCGACUUUUUUUUUUUUUUUUUUUUAUUAUUGGGGGUCUUUUUUCUUUUCUUUUCUUCUCCGACUCUCCUCCACCGUCUCCGACGACGACGUCUCUCUCGCCCUUCCCCGCACUUCUCGUCCCUCCCUUUCCCUCCUCUCCGCCUUCGACGACGAUGCAUCUUUGCCGGCGCCGACAUCGACACCGUGGAGGUCACUGCGACGCUGCAGCCUCGAAGCCGGGGGUCCUUAGCGGCGUCGUCGCCGGCGCCGUGGCCGUUAGAAGAGAGAGGCGACAAAAAAAAAUAUAAAAGAAGCAAGAAAAAAAAUAAAAAUACAAAAUUAUAGAAAAAGAAGGAUGAAGAUGAAAUUGCAUUGUUAACUGUAAAAAAAAUUAUAAGUUGCACUACUUAAAAUGUAAACUGCAGCUUUAAGAUGAAAAUUACACUUUUUAAACGAAAAUUACACUAUUUGAAAGAUAUUUACAUUGUUUCUCCUUUUAUUGCACUCUUUCAGAUGUAAACUGCAUUCAUUAAGAUGAAAAUUACACUCUUUAAAUGAAAGUUGCACUGUUUCUCUUCUUGUUGCACCAUUUUUUCUCUUGUUACACUAUUUUUUAUCUUAAACUGCACCCCUUUAAGAGAUAUUUAUACUGUUUUUUCUCUUGUUGCACUGUUUCUCCUCUUAUUGAAUUAUUUAUCCUCUUGUUACACUAUUUUUAUCUUAAACUGCACGUUUUAAAAGAAAAAAUAAUGUAACAAGAGAAGAAAUAGUACAACAAGAGGAGAAACAAUAUAAAUAUCUCUUAAAUAAGUGCAGUUUAAGAUAAAAAAUAGUGUAAGAAGAGGAGAAAUGGUGCAACAAGAGGAGAAACGGUGCAACUUUCAUUUAAAGAGUGUAACUUUCAUCUUAAUGAAUGCAGUUUACAUCUGAAAGAGUGCAACAANAAGAAGGCCACUAAAUCCUGUAUCUGUAGUAGUGGAAUGCAACUUUCGUUUAAAGAGUGUAACUUUCAUCUUAAUGAAUGCAGUUUACAUCUGAAAGAGUGCAACAAGAAGAGAAACGGUUUAAAUAUCUCACAAGAGUGUAAUUUUCAUCUUAAAGAUACAGUUUACAUCUUAAGUAGUGCAACUUGUAAUUUUUUUUGCAAUUAAUGAUGCAAUUUCAUAUUCAUCAUUUUUUUAUAUAAUUUUUUAUCUUUUUUUUUUUCUUCUAUAAUUUUUUUUUUAUCACCCUCUCUGCCAACAGCCACGGCGCCGAUGACGACACCGCUAAGGACUCUCCCGCUCCGAGGCUACAGAGCCGCAGUGACCUCCACGGUGUUGGUGUCGGCGCCGGCAAAGAUGCAUCGUCGUCGGAGGCGGUAAAGAAGAAGGGAGAGGGAGCGACGAGAAGGGCGGGGAAGGGCUAGAGAGACGUCGUCGUCGGAGACGCUGGAGGAGAGUCGGAUAAGAAAAGAAAAGAAAAAAGCGAAAAAAAAAAAGUCGCGACGCGGUCUUGACGGGGUCGGAGGCGAGGAAGGUCGGGGUGCAUGGGCGAGGGCAAGGGCGAGGGCGAGAGCAUGAGGAUGAGAGGCGAGGCGGACUGUUUCCGCCUCUGCCUCUGCUUCGCUACUUUUUUCAAAAAAAAGAAUGAGAAAAACGAAGAGGAGAAAAAAAGAGGAAAGAGAAAAAGUAAUAAAGGUAUUUUGGUCAGUUUGCUGAAAAAGCGGACCGAAUCUACAAAAACGAAAAAUAUGGCCCGGUUUUGCAAAAGCCCAAAAUAAGUAGAUUUUUUAUGCAAAUUGGCCAAAAUAAAAUAAAAUAAAAUUUUAAAAAAAUAUCUUAUUUGGACCUAAAAUAUAGAAAAAAAAAAAGAAAUAAAAAAAUGUUUUCUAUAUCACUAUUUUCUAUAAGUGGUUCAACACUUCUUUCAAUAAAUGAGUAAAGUAGAGGUUAAAUUAGUUCGAACCGUAAUCGAGCCUAAUUUGAUUUGUCCAAACCGGGUCAUAUUCGGGCCUGGAUUGUGGGUUCGGACCACGGGUUUGAUUUGGGCUUACUAUAUGGCCCUUUGUGUUGAAAAGCUGUUCUCUGGACCUAGUUCACCACGUCGUUCAUGGACCACGUAAGCCAUGUGUGCCCAUUCGUCGCUUAUUCAAAUCGGUGUCACUUUCACGCUUUUAAAAAUUUAAAAAUAUAUAUUUCUCUUAUAUAAUGAUUGCUAUUAAAAAUGAGCAUAGCUAAUUAUAAAUACAAAAUUGGGUGUUAAUCUAACACCAUUAAUUCAAGGGGUAAUUUUAUAUCCCUAAUUUUAUUACAAUUUUAUGUUUUUAACAUUAAAAAAUAAAAAAAGUUAUUUCAAUUUUUAGAUUGAUGGAAUAUAAGAUAUAUAUAUCUUAUUUUUUGAGAUGCGUAGAUAGCAUUUUUCAUUGACGAUUACGGAAAUAAAACAAUCCUGACCUACGAUUUGAUUGGCCCAUUUUGAAACUAUGUAAUUUGAUAAUUUGAUGUACUUUUAUUGUAUUAUUAAAAUUAAAAUGAAAGGUAAAAUGUAUGGAGACUCCUUGAAAUUUUGCUAAUUUUUAAACAGUCUGAACUUUCAAUUUUGGUAAAAAGACUCUUUAAACUUUAUUAAAUAGUUAAAUAGAUCCCACUCUUUAAUUAAAAUUAUUAAUUAGACAAUUAUUUUUGUCUUACAUAUUGUAUAUAAUAAUAAUUUUAUAAAACUUUCAAACAUACAAAAAAAAAAAAAGAAGAGAGAAUUCUAACAUAAAAGAAAAGCGAAAAAAAAAACUAGAGUUUGAUUUAACUUAUUCUUUGUUCGUCGUACUUAAUUAUUAAAAUUGGAAUAAUUUUUUUUUUUUUUUCAGUUUUACAGAAUUAUGUGCACGUUACUUGAAGAGAGAGACCUAUUAAACUAUACAAUAAAGCUAAGGAAUUUAAAUUAAAAAGUUAAAGUUCAAGAGGUCUCCGCACACAUUUACCCAAAAAUAUUAUUUAUAUUUACAAAGAAAUAUUUGGAUGUUUUUUGUGAAAAUAAAAAAAAUACCUCAACAUUACUAUAAAUUUAUUGUAAAAAAAAAGAGUCAAAUCAUUGGAUUUAUUAAUUUACUUAUUAAUGUAAUGCUGAAAUUUAUCAAGCAUAUAUCAAUUAUAAGAUAUACAAAUAUGAAAAUUCGGAUGCAAUCGCACAAAUAGAAAAAUAUUCAGCUCUAAAGAAAAGCAUAAUGUUGUCUAUGUAUUUAUAAAGUAUAUUCAAAGUCUAUUAUUUUUUUUAUACUAAUUUUAUUAGUUUUUAAUACAAAAAAUAUAUAUAAAUUUAUGAACUCUAGCACGAAAAAUAUAAAAUUUAUACAAACUUAUAGAUGCACAUACAAUAUUUUUCAAAACAAUAAUCCUUAUAAUAAAAGUUCACAAAACCGGCCGUCCCUAGAGUAAGUGGCAAAGGGCUUGGUGGUUGGUACCCGAGAUCCAAGUUCGAAUCCUAAUUGAUUCACAUUUUUAGUUAAGUUUAUUUCUAAAAUAAAAUAAAUGAAGCGAGUAGCGAGCUUGCUAUAUAUCUCUAAAAAAAAAAUAAAUAAAUAAAACCGUGAGCAAACUCAAGUGGGCCCCCAAACAAUCAGUUUAAAAACAAGUGACACAUAACGGUCUGAAGACCACCUCCCAAAUUGCCUUUUUAUUUUCGAAAAAAAAAGAGAAAGUGACUUAUAACUGUCUCUAAUAUCUUACCUAUUUUUCUUAUUUUGCUUCCUAACUCUUGUUUUUAUUUUACUAUUAGAUUUCUACAUAUAUAUUUUUUGUUCUAGUUAAAGGCAUUUGGAUUGACGUAUUUGUAGAUUCAACGUAAGUCAAGUGUAGUGGUGUUUGAGUUUUCCUGAAGUGUGAUUUUUUUGUGUUGUUUGUUUUGACGUAACUCAUACCGCCUAAAAGUUAAAUUCAAUCACUUCUGUUGUUUGUUUUGAUGUAAUUUGGUGCUGGUAAAAUUAGUUUUUUGAGUUCCGUUGUUUGUUUUGAUGUAAGUGGAUCUCAUUUUCUCCUAAAUAUUGUAGUAAAUUUACCACUAUAAAAUUUAAUCUAUUAUAUAAUUAAUUUUUUUAUUAUUAUUUAAAGAUAAUCCUAAUUUAUUAUAAAUAAGGUAAUUCUAACCCAUUAUAAGGGAAGUAGAGUUUAGGUUUUACUGUUUAAUAAAAUUUUUAGAGGAGGUUGAGUGUAGUGAAAGUCGAGUUCGGCACUUUAGAGGAGAAAGUCGAGAGUAGGUGAAGUGGAGCUUUAACGUAACUUGAUUUACAUUAUAUUUUUCACUUACAUUAAAACAAACAACGGAAGUGAUGGAACUUGAGUUCCAUCACUCCACUUACACCAAAACAAACGGGCCAGAUUCUAACCGUCAAAAUUUCUGUUAAUUAUGAUAGAAUAAUAAAUAAUAUUAAUUUUAACAAAAUCAUGCCUAUUUAUGUAGAUCAUAAUCAUAGUUCGGUAACCUCCAGUAAAAUCUCGGCAUCAACAUUUUAAAAUUUUUGAAAGAUCUCAUUGGCGCAUUGCAUUGGAUAAUCAAGAAGGUCAUAGGUUCCAACAGAGACAGUAAGUAAUGUAUAUGAUAUCAUGAUGGUUUUAGAUAUGGAAGAUAAUAUUGAGAGUGAUAAGAUUGGAUUGAAUGCAAUGGCGCGCUGAUGGGAGAAGAGGUUAUGGCAAAAUUAAUUCUCCAGGUUAAGGAUCAAUGGACCAAAUUAAAAAUAGCAAUGCUAGGAUUAUCACCCACUUUUGGAUUAUAAUACUAAAGCCCAAAAGGGGUUAGAUUAACCUAGAAUGAACAGAUUGACCGUCCCUAAAGCAAGUGGCAAAGGACUUGGUGGUUGGUACUCGGUGUCGCAAGUUCGAAUCCUAAUUGAUUCACAGUUCUAGCUAAGUUUAUUUUUAAAUGAAAUAAACAAAGCAGGUCGCGUGCUACUUAUGUCUCAAAAAAAAAAAAAAAAAAAAAAAAACUCUAGAAUGAAAGGUUAUAUGCUUGCAUGAUUCUAACCCUUUUUGGAUUGUAGACUUAAAACUUUUCAAAAAAGAGUUUGGGGACAAAAUGAAAGGUUGGCGACCAAUGGUGCAAUUAGCCCUUCAUUUUGUAAUCUCUCUGACAAAUUUCGACUACACCGGUUGUCCCUAACACAGAUGACAAAAGACUCGAUGGUUGGUAUCUAAAGUCCAAAAUUCGAAACCUAAUUAUUUCACAUUUCUAGCUUAAUUUAUUUCUAAAAAACAAAAACAAGUGUUAGCAUGCUACCAUUCCCCCUCUCAAAAAAAAAAAAAAAAAAAAAAAAAACACUUUCUACUAAACCAUAACCAUAAGUUCUAAAUUAGAGUAGUUUGCUUAUUUUGGAAAUGAGAAAGAUUCACCCCAGUAACUUAAAACAGUUCUUUAUAUAUAUAACAGUGAAACUUGCAAUUCCUGUGCAAAUAUAAUCUACCGCAAUCAGAUAUAAAUCAGUCCUUGUAUACAAAACCACAAAACAUGGAGGAUGUGCUAGGUUGAAAUCAUUACUUGGUGCUAAAUUAAGCAAAAGAUAUCAAUUUCACACCAACUACAUUUCAAAAUUUUAUAGGUAAAUCUGACACAGAAUUUUUCUGUCAAAAAGCUUACAAAGCUAAACACGUGAUUUUCUUAAAUCUUGAGUACAUUUCUAAAGCAAGACACCUUAAUGUAUAAUCUACUACAAAUCCAUUUAUGACAACUAACACUCUACUACAAACCCAUUUAUGACAACUAACACCAAGAUGAAUAUUCUUUGUACAAGUAUCAUUCCUUAACAACCAUGAUGUACAAUGCAUUAUUUGAGUCAGUAACCUGGAGUAUCAGAAAAACUGGGCACAUUGUGAGUUUGCCAACAUGUUAGAAAAAACACUUUUGAUAUUUAGGCAGGAUAAUCUUGUGGAUCAUAAGCGCUAACUAACUAUUUCAAAAACACGUGCUGAUAGAACGAGUGCACUCAUUACACUUAAAAGCUCAACCACAGCGCUCGCGAGCUUCGACCUGACUCAACCCACCUGAACGUUGAGUAUAUUAUUGGACCUCUUGCCAUUAGGUCUUUUAUGGACCACACCAUCAUUCAAUUUAUUAGACUCACGCAACUCAACUUAUUAAUCUUCUGAGUCUAUUAUCAUGGGACAGGAAGUUGGACUUAUUUUAGCCCAAUAAUAAGUAGCCAACAGAUCUGUCCACAUCUCAUGUGUGAUAACAGCUCACCUGUGUUGCAAGCAAACAACCAUAAAUACAUGUUCAAGUUGGAAAAUAUGCCAAGAUCUCUCUAAUUAGACAACAAUACCAGAGUGGUCCAAUAGCAAUUUACUGGUAAAAUCACUUCAUCACCAAGCAAUGAAAUGAUAUUUUGAGACAAUUACAAAUGCUCAAAGAAGAGUUCAUGGUGAUAUUUCGACCUGACUUCUAAAACAGCUUUUUCACGUGCUAUAAGAAUUUGGAUAAUAAAAAUUCCAGAACUUGAGAAGCUAAGUUAGCUUUUGAAGAGUGCACUUGAAGUGUUUUUUCGAAUAGCAGUUUUGUAGAAGCCCAAAAAAUUAUAAAAGAACUCCAAUUUCAACAAGAAGUAGAAUGUAAAUGAUUUUUUCUUUGCCUGAAAGUAGUGCACAGUUAAACUAGUAAAGAGAAACAUUGUUGAUGUAUAUCUUUUUUUUUAGUGGGGGGGGGGGUUCAAAGUUGUUUGUAGUAAACCAGAUUGUUGCUAAUGACAAUGACCAGAAAUUUACCUGCCAACAAGUUCAAGAGCAAAAACUCUUGUAAAACUUGCACGGAAUUACAAUCACAGAUCCAUCAUAACCGAAGAAACUCUUCUUCGAUCAUAAUAUGGCGCUCUAUAGAAAGCCAUUACCAAGCUGAAAUUAGACAACAUGAAGUAAAUGCAGAUACCUAGCCCAAGAGCAAUUCCUUGUGACAAGGGAAGAAUCUCGCCCAAACGGGAGGGGGGGGAGGAGGAAGAAGAAGAAUCACUUGUGCUUGUUCUUCUUCUUCUUCAUCAUCCAUGGGUGUUGAGAGCCUCCCACAGCAGGUUCUUCGGAGCCGCGUUCUUAGCAUUGCGGGCCUGCAUGGCGGCGGCGCGGAGGGUCCGGAUGGUCAUGGCAUUGGCCUCCCAGAAAGAAGCGGUGGCGUAGGGCAAGUUGUGCUUCUUGCAGAGAUCCCUGACGAAAGGCGCGAUCUUCCUGAGGCGGCAGCGGGGAAUUCGCGGGAAGAGGUGGUGCUCGACCUGGAACUGCAGGCCGCCGUGGAACCAGUCCAUCCAGGGCGGGCAGGAGAUGUCGAGGCUGGCCAUGGUCUGCCUCUCGAACCAGUCGUUCCCGGCCGGCGGGCCGACGAAGACCUCCGACGAGAAGUGGUUGAGGCAGAACUGCACGUGCUGGAUCCCGGUGACGGCGAAGCUGGCGAGGACGAAGGCGGCGCGCUCCCGCCAGUCGGGCAGGCAGGAGACGAGCAGAGGGUACCAGACCCAGAAGACGGCGACGCCGGCGAUCUCCUGGAGGCGGUUGGGCACGUUGCGCCCGGAGAGCAGGAGGAUGCCGGACUGCGCGAGGAGGUUGACGCGGGCGACGCACAUGACGGGGUAGAAGGUGAGGUGCUGGUAGCUGACGAGCAGCCGGGCGGCGGCGCCGAAGGGCAUGGUCCGGCGGUAGAAGACGGAGAAGAGCGGGGCGAAGAGGCGCGGGGAGACGGCGAAGAGGGGGAGGUGCUGCAGGUCGGGGUCGAAGUCGAGGCUGUUGCAGGCGAUGUGGUGGGCGUUGUGGUUGCGCUUCCACCAGGCGAUGCUGAUGCCGGUGACGCAGUUGCCGGAGCAGAUCUGGAGGAGGCGGUUGAGGCCCCGGGAGGGGAGGAUGGGGUAGUGGCCGGAGUCGUGGCCCAUCCAGCCGGACUGGAUCCAGAGGAGGCCGACGAGCGCGCCGGACAGCAGGUGGGCGAGCGGGGAGGGGGAGAGGCGGACGAGGAGGACGGCGGAGAGGAGGAGGGCGAGCAUGGCGAGGAGGGAGAGGGAGGGGAGGAGCGGGGAGGGGCGGAAGAGGCCGAGGCGGGAGAACUGGGAGCAGAGCCGGCGGUAGUCGGCGGACGCCGGGGAGACGGCCGGGUCGGACAGCCGGCCCACGAGGAAGCGGGGGAGGAGCGGGAAGGCGGACGGCGGGUGGUAGGCGAGGAAGGCGUCCGUGGCGUCGCUGCCGGCCAGGCUCAGGAGGGGGAGGUCGCCGCCCGGGUGCGACGGCAGCCACCGCGUCACGUCGUACACCUUCCCCCCGAUCGCGAUCCACAGGUCCGACGCCGUGCUGUGCUUCCGCAGCUCCUCCGUGCUCACGCACCGCACCGCUUUGGGACCGCCGGCGGCAUCGUCGUUGUCGUUGUUCUCGCGAGAAAUAAUGUAGUAGUAGAUCUGAGGACGAUCUCUCUUUAUUACAUUUUUCUCUUGUUUUUUUUUUUCUUUUUUUCUUUUUUGUUUUUAUUUAUUUAUUUUUGUUUAUCUGUCUGUGUAUAUACUGUCUACAUGUCACACAGCGAGCGAGAACACGAGAUGCCAGACAGAAACAUUAAUUUGUUCAUUUCUCAGGACGCAGAUAUUUUUAGGUUGCUGUGGUGCGAGAGAGCACAUGCGGUGAUUGCGGUUGCUGGCACGGUAAUUUUCCUUUUUUUUUGGUUAGGGUAAAUUUCAAUUUACACCACUGCAGUGGUUUAUGGCAACUUUAUUGUCCAUAAUAAUAACUAUGGCAACUUUAUUGUCCAUAAUAAUAACUUAAAAAAAAGAAAAAGAAAAAAGAAGAUAGAUAGCACGUUAUUCACUUUAUUUAUUUUAUUUUGAAAUAAAUUUAGCUAAAAAUGUGAAUCAACUAGGAUUCGAACUUGGGUCUCGGAUACCAACCACCAAGCCCUUUGCCACUUGCUCUAGAAACGGUUAAUUCUAUAAUAAUAACGUUAAACUCAAAUAUUAUAUGGUUUAGCAGGUUGUUUACUGAUUCAAAAAAAUUAUAUUUUAGAUAUAAUUAUCUAUGUACCUCUCAAAAUUUCAAAAAUAUAUUAUUUAUAUUUACUUUUUUUUUCUUUCUAAUAUUAAUAUAUCCCUUAUAUGUUUCUCCGUUAUUUCAGAAUAUUUCUAUAGUUACUAUCCGUUAAAUUAAUUUGAAUUAAACGUGAGUUAAAUAUCUAUUAGAGUUAAAUAAAAUCAAAAUGACUCUUUUGUUCUUAACUUAAAGGCAAAUAAAAAAUAUUGGUAAUAGUAGAAGGAUACACUAAGGCUGCGUUUGGUUCGGGUAUAAGUAAGAACUGCUAGUUCUAGGAAUAGGUACAAGUUCAAGUAUAAAUACGAACUAAAUCAAUUUUGCAUUUGGACGAAAAUUGGGUUGUUCUUAGGAAUAAGGUAAAUAGUGUUUGGAUGAUUAGAUUGGAACAAGAGGAAUAAUGUUAUAAUUUGAAAUUAAAAUUAUAUUAUGUAAUUAAUUAACAUAAAAAUAUUACUUAAAAAUAAAUAAAAAAAUUAAUUAUUAAUAAUUAAUUAUAAAUAAUAAUUAAUAAUAGUAAUUAAUUAUAAAUAAUAAAUUAUUAAUAACGAUUAUCUAAUUAAUAAUAAUUAUUAUUAUUAUUAAUUAUUAAUAAAUAAUAAUAAUUAUUAAUUAUUCUUAUUAAUUAAUUAUAAAUAAUAAAUUAUUAAUAAUAUUGAUUAUCUAAUUAUUAAUAAUAAUUAAUAUUAAUAUUUAUUAAUAAAUAAUAAUAAUAAUUAUUAAUAAUUAAUUAUAAAUAAUAAAUUAAUAAUAACAUCGAUUAUCUAAUUAUUAAGAAUAAUAAUUAUUAAUUAAUUAUUAAUAAAUAAUAAUAUUAAUUAUUAAUUAUUAAUUAUAAAUAAUAUAUUAAUAAUAAUAUCGAUUAUCAUUAAGAAUAAUAAUUAUUAAUAAUUAUUAAUAAAAAAUUAAUAAAUAUUAUUAAUUAUUAAUAAUUAAUUAUAAAUAAUAAAUUAAUAAUAAUAAUUACCUAAUUAUUAAUAAUUAAUUAUAAAUAAUAAAUUAUUUAAUUAUUUAAUUAUUAAAACAAUAAAUAAUAAUUUAAAUAUAUUAAUUAGAUUAAUUAAUAAUUUACUGCCAUUAAAAUUAAAUUUAGAUUUUAAUUAAUCUUGUUCUCAUCAAGGAACAAGCUUGUUCCAGGAAACCGGUGGAACAGCAAUUCCAGCCUUAUUCCAGCUAGUUCCAGAUUCCCGGGAACUACUGUUCCCAGGAGCCAAACAUAGCGUUUGGAAACAAAGGGGGGAACAAGGGCUUAUUCCCCCCCUUGUUCCCCAACCAAACGCUACCUAAAAAUCAAAAUACAUGUCCAAGCAACAGUCAUCUGCCAGUAGAUAAAAUGUUUAAUUAUACUUUUGAUUCUAUAUAUAUAAUAUGGGAUUAAAUGCAUAUAGGUCCCUAUAAAUAUAGUGAACUGCAAAUAUAUCCUUACAAAGUGAACUUUCAUAUGUUGUUUCUGUAAAAUUUCAAUAUUUUCAAAUGUGUCUCUCUAAUUUAUUACCAUUAUAGAACUGUUUAUAUUUUAAGUAAAAAUGCCAAUUUUGUUAUUAUAAAUAUGUUCCUCUAAAGCCAAACAGUAUAAUGUAAGAGGAGCAAAAAUGUCAAGUUAUAUCAUAGGAUUAAGUAUUUAAUAUAUGGUUAACUAAAAUUUUCUAACAGGUCCUAACGGUAGCGAUAUAUUUAAAAAUAUUAAGGUUUUUGUAAGAACAACAUAUAAAAAUUAAACUGUGUAAAAAUAUAUUUGUAAUUUAUUAUAUUUAUAGUAACCUUUAUAAAAUUAAUCCUAUAAUAUAAUAAAACAAAUUGCGGUAAUGAAAACUUGGUUAUUACCUGAUCUUCAGCAGGCGUAAAUUUUUUUUUUUUGUAAGUUACUAAUUUAAAAUAAAAAUAUUAUAAAUAUGCGGCAACUGCUUAUUGAUUUGAGAGAUGACUAGGGAUGUCAAUGGAUACGAAUACCGAAAUUUUAUCCGAACCCGAAUCCGAAUGAAGCGAAUAUAUCCAAUGCUAAAUGGAUAUGGAUUCGGAUAUAAAUAUCAAAAAUAAAAAUCCGACGGAUAUGAAUCCUAUAUGGAUUUUGAUCGAACCGACCUAAACCUAAAUUUAUUCUGCAUUAUAUAUAAUAUAUGUAUAAAAAUUUGAUGUUAUAUUUGAGUUUGUAUUUUAAAAAUUUAGAUUUAAUAUAAUAUAUUUUAAAAUAUUAAAAAAAAUAAUUAUUUCGGGUUCGAAUUUUCGGGUUCGAAUUUUGAAUUUUUGGUCCGGUUCAAAUUUAGACAUGAAUUUUAAAAUCCGUCACGUCUCGAAUUUGAAGUCGAGUUCGUGUUCGUGUUUUUAAAAAUUCACCCCUAAUCCGAUCCAUUAGCAUCUCUAGAGUUGACAAGCCAGUACUGAUAAAUUAUUGGAGCCAGCAGAGUGUACCACCCUUUCUCAAAUGGAGUAAUGCUGCUGUCCCAAAAAGCAGUGUAUUUUGAUGACCAAAUCUUAUAUUAAUAAUACAUUAAUUGUGGUGGGAGAAGAACAUUAAAUUUUAUUUAUUUCUGCAAGGAAUAGUAUGUUGGUGAAUUUUAUUGAUUCUAUGGAGAUAAAUUUUUGUUGGUCCUACUAAAGAACCAAAAUUAAUAUCUUCACAUAUCUUCACAUAUUUCAUUUACAAUUCUUUCUGACUCAAUAGUAUAUAGUGCCAAUCAGGUUCUUUGUGCAUUAAUGAGAUUUAUUUUGUUACACUUGAAAUUAUUAUUGUAAAUUCUAUCUUUUUGAAAUAGUGGUGUUAUUAAUAAGGUCCAUUUAAGCAAGAACAAAAUAAUACUCAUAUCAAAGUGUAGUUGAUGAAUAAGUAAGAAUAAAUAAUUUGAUUUAAUUUAGUUUUAUAUAUUCUUUUCUAGCAUAAACUAUAUAUUUUCUUAAAAUACUGGUGUUGCUAGUAGAGUUAUUUUCUAUAAAGAAAAUAAUAAUGAAUUUGGUCAUUUCUCACUUGUCAAAUGUGAAUUUGCUAUUAAUUUGUGUCUAUAAUAUAGAAAAUCUUUCAAAAAUUGUUCAUACUUUAGCACAUAUUAUAUAUAUGAGUAGGUCUUUUAGCCGUUUUCGAUAAUAGAGUUUCCGAAUCAACGAUCGGCUCCGUUAGACUUGAUCUAACAUAUUUGAACUAUUUAGAAAAUAAUUUUUGUAAUUUUUUUGUAUCAUUUUCCGAGCGAUCGAAAGGAUUCAAAAUCAACAAUUUUUAAUAGUUGAUGUAUACCGUUUGCAAGUUUAACGGUGUAAAAGUAUUCAAAUCAAAUAAAAUUUUGAUAGAAAAUUCUUUAUACUAUUUACAGCAAGAUCAAUUUGUUUGAUCGAAAAUUUUAAUACUGUAUCACCACUUUUUGUGAGAUUUUUAUUUCUAGCCGUUGAUUUUGAACCCCUUAGGUCGUUAGGUAAAUGAUAUCGAAAAGUCACAAAAUUUAUUUUCUAGAUACUUCAAAUAUAUUAGAUCAAGUUUAACGGAACCGAUCAUUGAUUCGGAAGCUCCAUCAUCGAAAAUGGCUUAGAAGCACGGAAGUCUCCGUGCUCCUAAUAACACACAAGACCUACUCUUAUAUAUAUAUAAAUAUAUAUUUCCUUUUAAUUAAUUAAUGCAUCUAAUUUGAGACAUAAUAAGGACAGGGACAACCAAAUUAAUUUUUUGUGGACUCUCUAGUAUCCACUAUCAAGUGUACUGCUGCAUGACAUGCACGUGGUGUGUGUGUCUUGUAUACCUCUUAAUGCAUGAAAGAUUUUCUUUUCUUUUUUUUUUUGUCUCAACAAAAUUGGUGAAGGUACUGGUAGGGACAAUAGUACGUAAUAUGAAUUAAGUUACAAUACUAUUGAUAAUGAAUAAAUAAUAUUUAUUAUUUAUUUUGUACUAUUGGAUGCGUAAAGUUUACCAGCGGUAGGUAGAAUAGUAAUAAUUUAGAUUAAUUUUAUACAAGUCUCUGUAAAUAUAGUAAAUAUCAAAUAUAUUUUUAUAAAAUUUAAUUUUUAUAUAUUAUUUACGUAAAAUUUUGAUAUUUUUAAAUAUAUUUUAUAAUAUUUUUUUUUUUCGUUUCUGACCAUCAAACUAGUUUUCUAAAGAGCCUAUAUAUUUUAUUACAUAACUUUAGCCUAGUAAUUGGCUAGGGCUUUGAAGGGUACAUUAUAUUUCGAAAAACAAUUUCUGAACUGAUUAAAAAAAUAUCAUGUCCCUAGCGGCCGAUGAACUAGUUCUCUGAUAACAUAACAUACGUUGUAAGUCUCCUUUGACAAAAAAAAAAAAAAGCUACAAAAACUAUUAGUUCCCUACUCGUGCGUUUAUAAAAUGAGAUUUAAGCCCCUGAUAUUUGGGGGAAAAAAAAUAAUAAUAAUCAGGUUAGUGAACUUAUGUUCGGGGUUUCUAAAAUUCCGAGCAGUCAAGCUAAAUAAAAUGAAAAUAAAAAAAUAUUUAUUUUUGUAUUUUUCUCUCCUGUCGUUUAGGAACUGUUCGGUUGCAUGUAGAUGCAUGUAUUUAUUAAAUUUUUGGUUACUUUGGUAUAGCUAGGCUCAACUAGUACAGUUACGUCUACAUGAGAAGGUCUAACUGUAGCAGUUGGUAUUGCAGCUAAAUUGGCUGCAGUUGGUGCUGCAACAGUUGGGCCGGAGUCGGCUAACCUAUUAAAAAAAGAAAUAAAGUGUGAUUUUUUUUUCAUGUGCUUUUUUUUAUUCUUUUUUCAAACAUAUUUAUUCAUNCUUUUUUUUUUUUUUUUUUUUUUUCUGUCUGCUAGUUUAAUAAUAUUUUAAUUUUAGUUUUGACCAAAUCUAUAAUAUAUUUGAAUUCAAAAUUCAUUAAAUUCAUACAUACUUUUAUAAUAUAUAAAUUAUAUAUAGAUAUAAAAGUCUUAAUUAAUAAUUAAAAUAUGAUUACGUUAUGUUCAGAAAAGACAAUAUCACAUUUCUAUCUAAAAAUUGAUAGAAUUUAUAUAUACAAAUCUCAACUGCAGCCUACGGACCAAACAGAAGAAAUAUAACUGCAGCAGUUGCAACUGUAUAAACCCAAACAGUCUAUGUAUAGUUAUGAUUGCAAUAUUUAUAACUACAUAUGCUUUCAACUACACUGUUUUUAUAACUACAUAAAACCAAACGGUCCCUUAAGAGACUUUUAUUUUGCCUCAACAAAUUUUAAAUUAGGGAAAACUUCAAAUAUUCCCCUUGUGGUUUCACUCUUUCUCACUUUAGUACCCUAUGAUUUAAAGUGUAUCAAGUUAGUACCUUGUGGUUUUGCACUUUUUUACUUUCUUACUUUAGUACUCUGUGGUUUAAAGUGUGUCAAGUUAGUACCCUGUGGUUUUGCACUUUCUCACUUUAGUACCCUAUGGUUUAAUAUUUUAUUAAGAGAAAAAUAAAACCACAGAGUACUAACUUGAUACAAAAAUAAAAUCAUAGGGUACUAACUUGAUAUAAAAAUAAAACCACAAAGUACUAACUUGAUACACUUUAAACUAUAGGGUACUAAAGUGAGAAAGUGAGAAAUCACAGGAUACUAAUUUGAUACACUUUAAAUCACAGAGUACUAAAAUAAAAAAGUGCGAAACCAGGGGGGUUUUUGAAGUUUUUCCUUUAAAUUAUCACACCUCGUGGUACUGUACUAACCGACACAAAAGAAAAUUAAUUAAGAAAGAAAAAAUCCUUAUACAUUCUUUUUAUUUCAAGGUACAAAGCAAUGCAACUCAAUUAUACCAUGUAAUUUAUGUACAAAAGGAUAACAAAAUAGCAAAUGUUGGACUUAAUACAAUAAUUUUUAAAUUCAAGUGCAUAUAUAAAAAAUAUAAAAUGCUAAUUAUACAUUCUGUAUACGGGUGUAAUAUAUACAUCUUAAACUUCUUGAAUUGAAAGAUUUAUAAAAUUUAUCGAGUUUUUAGUAUAUUUUUUUAAAAAAUAAUGUAACAAGUCGGUGAUCCUAGGGACGGAAGUGUAUAGUAGCAUUGUUUAAAUACAAAUAGGAUAUUUAUAAAUUUUUUUUUAUAUUUUAGCCUAAAAAAAAUAGGGUAAUUGUCCAUAUACUUCUCAGAAAUUUAGAUUCUUCUAUACCGAUAGAAUAUUUAAAGUUUUUAGAAAUAAAAUUUUAUAUUUUUUCGACAUAGUUUAUUUUAUGAUCAAACCAUUUCAAAAUUGUCAAUUUUCAAAGACUACUAUGGCGAGUUUGGAGUUUAACGGUGUAGAAGAAUCUUAAUUUCUUCAAAUUUUGAUAGAAAAUACUUUAAACUAUCUAGAUUAAGAUUAACAUUCUUGAUUUUGAAUUUAAAAGUCCUAUACUCAAAUUUUAAAGAUUAUUCAAUUUUUACCGUCUAUUUUGACAUAAUUUAUUUACUAAGUAAACGUUGUCGAAAAAAGAUAAAAUUUUAUUCCUAAGAUCUUCAUAUGCCCUAUAUUAUAUUUAACGAUGUGGAUCGUUAAUUUGCACACCCUAAAAUCGAAAACAAGACUAUAGUACCGGAGCUCCGAUACUAUAGAUAAUAUAGUAGCCUAUAUAUAUAUAUAUAUAUAUAGAGUCCGUCUCCCGUACUUUCGAAAGUACGGGAGGCCCCGUGCUUGUAAGUUGUUUUCGAUGAUAGGACGUUCGAUUCGACGAUCGGCUCCGUUAGGUAUGAUCUACCCUAUUGGAACUAUCUAGAAACCAAAUUUUAGAUUUUUUUGACAUCAUUUACUAAGUGAUCAAAAGGUUUAAAAAUUGACUAUUUUAACGGUCGAUUUCGCACAUUUUUAAGUUCAACGGUGUAGAAGUAUCCAAAUUAUAUGAAAAUUUAAUAGAAAAUUCUACUUAACAUCAGUAGCAAGAUCAAUACUUCCGAUUUAAAAUUUGAAUCCUUUAUCACAUAUUUUUUAUGAGAUUUUCAUUUCAGCCGUUCAUUUGAGGCUACUCCGUCACUAGACAAACGAAAUCAAAAAAUUAUGAAAUUUGGUUUCUAGAUAGUUCCAAUAGCGUAGAUCAAGUUUAACGGAAACCAUCGCCGAAUCGGAUGUCCCAUCAUCGAAAACAACUUACAGCAACGGGGCCUCCCGUACUUUCGAAAGCAUAGGGCCUAGCUCUAUAUAUAUAUAUAUAUAUAUAUAUAUAUAUAUAUAUAUAUGAACUAGGCUAAUAUACUAUUAAUUAGUACCGAGUCAUUGUUGCUACCAAGUUUUUGGCCAUUGGAUUAAGAAGAUGUGCAGUUAGAUGAUGUGAGCCCCUUAGGGUUGAGUGGGGUGGUUGGUUAUAGUCUGAUCUAACGGUGAAAAUAAUCAAAAGGGUAGAUUAACUGCGGAAAACUUGGUAACACCAAGUGCUUCAUGCUAUUAAUAGCAGUAGGCCGGACUAUAUAUAUAUAUAUAUAGGUGUGGCUACUAUCUAUUAUGAGUACGAUCGCCCUCGUACUCAUAAGUUGUUUUCGAUGAUAGAGCUUCCGAAUCGACGAUCCACACCGUUAAACGUUAUUUACAGCAUUUAAAACUUCUAGAAAUCAAAUUUUAUAAUUUUUCGACAUCAUUUACCUUACAAUCAAGAGGUCACGAAUUUGACAAUUUUUAACGGCCGUAUGGGAUACUUGCUAGUUUUAACGGUGUAAAAGAAUCGAAAUUUGUGAAUUUUUGAUAAGAAAAUUCUAUUCACUACAUAGAUAAAGAUCAAUAAUCCGAUCUUGAAUUGAAGAUCCGAUCAUGCUUUUUUAGGAUGUCGUUCGAUUUUGACCGUUCAUUUUAUGCCCGCUUGAUGGACUUUAUUAUGAUUUCGAAAAUUUACGAAAUUUAUUUUCUAGAAGUUUCAAAUACUCUAGAUCAUAUUUAACGAGUGAUUAUCGAUUCGGAAGCUCCAUCAUCGAAAACAACUUAUGAGUACGAGGGCUCCAAUACUCAUAAUAGUAUAGUACCAUGGCCUAUAUAUAUUAUAUAUAUAUAUAUAUAUAUAAUAUAGUCGCGGCUACUAUGCUAUUAAUAGGAUUGGGACCAUUGUCCUAUCAAGUCGAUUUGAAUGAUCGGAACUUCAAAUUGAUAACGCGCCGUUGAAGUUGAUCUACACAAUAGAAUAUUUAGAAACCAAAUUUUGUAUUAUUUAAAAUCAUUAUCAAAUUCAUCUUAAGAGUUGAAAAAUGAACGGUCAUAAAUGAAUAACUUUCUUAAAAUAAAGGUUAGACUUUCUCAGUUCGUAAUCAAAGUUAUCAAAACAUUACUAAAUAGUAUAUAAGAAUUUUCUAUCAAAAAUUCAAGCAAUUUGGAUUGUUCUACACACGUUAAACAAGCAAACGGCUCAUAUACACCGUCAAAAAUUGUCGAUUUUACGACACUUUGAUCACCAUGUAAACCAUUAUCAAAAUUUAUGAAAUUUAGUUUCUAGAUAUUUCAAAUACUCUAAAUCAACUUCAACGGCUCCGAUCAUCGAUUUGGAAUCUCGAUCAUCAAGAACAACUUGAUAGGACAAAUGCUCCUAUCCUAUUAAUAAGAUAGUAGCAUUAGCCUAUAUAUAUAUAUAUAUAUAUAUAUAUAUAUGCUAGGGCUACUAUACUCUUAUUAGUAUAGAGUUCUUCGUACUUAUAAGUUGUUUUCAAUGAUGAAACUUCUGAAUCGACGAUCCACACUGUUAAAUAUGAUCUAGAGAAGUUAAAACUUCUAAACAAUAAAUUUCAUAAUUUUUUGAAAUCAUAAUUAAGUUCAUCAAGCGGGUAUAAAAUGGACGGUCAAAAUCAAACGACAUCUUAAAAAUGGAUGAUCGGAUCCUUCAAUUUAAGAUCGGAGUUAUUGAUCUUUAUCUAUGUAGUGAAUAGAAUUUUCUAUCAAAAAUUCAAUCUAUUUCGAUUCUUUUACAUCGUUAAACUAGCAAAUAUUUUAUACUGGCCGUUAAAAAUUGUCAAUUUUGUGACCUUUUGAUCGUAAGGCAAAUGAUGUCGAAAAAUUAUAAAAUUUGAUUUCUAAAUAUUUUAAAUGCUCUAGAUAACAUUUAACGAUGUGGAUCGUCGAUUCGGAAGCUCUAUCACUGAAAACAACUAAUGAGUACGGGGGUGAUCGUACUUAUAAGAGUAUAGUAGCCGGACUCUAUAUGAGUUGAGCUAGAAUACUCUCAAAAGCAUCAAGAGGUUUGUGCUUUUGAGUUUUUAACCCUUGGAUGGAGAAAUGUAAGGUUGGGUUGAUGGUGGUUGGUGGUGGUAGGUGGUGAUAGAUGGAAUAAUGUUUGAUUUAAGUGCUAUUAGUAAUUAUGGAGUAGAUCCAAGAGCUAGAAACCUAGAAGCACCAAGGGGGUAAUACUUCUAAAAUUAUUCUAGCUAAAUUCUAUAUAUAUAUAUAUAUAUAUAUAUAUAUAUAUAUAUAUAUAUANNNNNNNNNNNNNNNNNNNNNNNNNAGAUUAGAAAUCAAAAUGAAAAAGAGCAAAGAUUAACGACCAAUGUCACAAUUAAUUUAGAAGUUAUGGAUCUGAUUGUAAAAACCAAAAAGAACACAAAAAGAUAAUAACCAACACAAUUGGAGAGCAAUUGUGGAAUUACCUUUUUUCUUGUGGGGGUUCGGAGGAUAUAUUUUAAUGUAAGCAGUGAAGCCGAAAUAAACAUUACGUACAAGUUCACAGGUCGAAGCCAUAAAAAAUUAAAAUUAUUGAGCUUUUUAACUAGAUAUCCAAACUGGGUCUGAUUCUAAAUUAUUAAAUAUAAAAAUAUAAAAAUAUUAUUAUUCAUCAACUUAAAUUAUAAGUGAACAUCGCUUAUAUAUUUUAUAUUCAACAUUUUAUCUCACGUCUGAAAAAUAAAUAACGUUAACAGUUUGACGAGACUCGAAUACAGAACCUCCUAUUUUUAAAUAAUCAUUAUUUUCCAAACAUUUAAGCUCUAAUACAAUAUUUUUAUUGUGACUUCUCUACUCAAAAACAUGCAGCAAUGCUCAUAUCCAUCAAUAUAUUUUCAUUAGGGAUAGAUCUCACCUUAUUAAUUUUUUUUUUUCUUUUUUCCCCAUUGUUUUCCUAUUUUACCAGUUAUUAAUGCUGAUAAAAAUGUUUUGGAGACCUUGUCAACUAUAGGUCAGUUUAAAUUAAGAUCUCCAGUCUCCACUUCACCUUUUUUGUUUUGUUUUUAUUGACACUUUUUUUAAAAAAUUUAUAACUUCUGUUUACUUUAUUUAAGUCAUUCAAGUUAAUUAAAUAAAAAAUUUGGUAAUUUUAUUCAAUUUCACAGCUCUCUACCAACUAUUAGCCAUCAAUUUUUUUUAAUGUUCCUGUUAAUGAGAGUAAUUAAAAAAAAUUAUAAAUAAUAUCUAAUAUACCCCUUUAAAACUAUAAAAAUAUUUAAUUUAUCUGGACCACAAUGCCCUUGGGUGUUCAAAAAAUUUCUUGGAAUAUAAUAUCUCUAUGCAAAGGCAAUGAUAAUCAUUCAUUACUCUUCAAACUGGAAAAUAGUAAAUAGUGAAAUGAAUAGCCAAUCAAGUUCCAAAUAAAAGAAGAAAUAAAAAUAAUGAUGAACAACUAAUAUUAAUCCUUAAAAUAAUAGUUUUUAUUUUUUUGGUAUUGUGCUUUUGGACUCCCUCACCUCCUAUAUGCUUUUCUCCACAGAAGUACCUGCACAUCAAAUACAUGUUAUUAUUUUAUAUUAUAUUAAAACAUGUGUCCAUGCUUGUACAAAGUACUUUUUUUAUUUAGCUGUUACAUUCAUGUGCUCCAGUGGUUGGUAUCUAUCAUUAAAAAGUUGACACUGAAAACACAAACAUGUCAACAAAAUUGGAUCAUAUAUGUCAAUGGCCCCCCAUGAAAUAGUGCCCUCUUAUAUAGCUCACAGACUACAGUGUGUGUGUGUAUAUAUAUAUAUAUAUAUAUAUAUAUAUAUAUAUAUAUAUAUAUAUUAAAAAAUAUAUAAAUAUAAUAUAUUUUAAUUAUAUAUAGGCUGAGUGAAUAAUCUGAGUUUAGUUAAAAUUGAAAUUUGAUUUUUAAACACUUCAAGUGAUAUAGAUUAUGUUCAACGGUGUCGAUCGUCGAUUUGGAGGCUCUAUCAUCGAAAACAAAUGGGUGGCAGGCGGUGGCAGCGGAGCCUGUUUGCUGCCGAUAGUAUUCUAGCCCAACUAUAUAUAUAUAUAUAUAUAUAUAUAUAUAUAUAUAUGGGCAAUUUCAUGGAUAUCCCUCCCAAAGUUUAAAAUAUCAUAUAUGCCCCUAUAAAGUUUAAAAUAUCACCAAUACCCCUGUAAACACAAAAAAUUAUCAUUAAUACCCUACUGUUAGUUAUAUUAGUUUUACUAUAGUUAUUACAUGGUUAAAGAUGGGUUAAUUUUUAAAAUAACUUAUUUACCCUCAAAAAUCUUUUAACUAAAAAUGUAUGAAAACCCCCUUAACUAUAUGCCGUUUUGAAAUAGCUCCCUCAACUUUCAUUUUUUAGUUGAUAUCCCAUUAACUUUUUAUUUAAAAAAAAAACCUAAUUUCAGUGUAUAAAAAAAAAAGAAUUUUUUAGUUUUUUUUGAUGAUUUUACCAAAUCUAAUGGCUCUAUUUAUUUUUUAUCAAAUAAAUAACUAUAUAUAAAAAUUUAAAUGAAAAUAAUGUUAAGAAAUUAUCCGAUCUUUCUUUAAUCUUGAAAACUUAAAAAAUUUUUUAAUAAAAAUUAUUCUCGAUAAUUUUAUCUGCAUUAAGUGUAUUAAAAAACUGAAAUAUAAUAUAUUUUAGCUUUUGAACAAAACUCUCUUUUUAUUUCAAUCGACAAAACAAUUAUGUGAUUUAUUUUUAAAUAGGAAAAAAAUAAAAUCUAUAAUUUAUUUCAAAAUUACUAUUACUAAUUAGGAAUGUGAAUUGAUAUAGAUACGGAAUUUUAUCUAAACUCGAUUUAAAAUGGGAUAAGUUUAAUCAAUGCUGAAUAGGGAUAGUUUUAGUUAUAGGUACCAAAAAAUAAAAUCCCGUCGUAUGUAAAUUCAGUUAUAGUUUUGGUCUAUAUUUAAACCGAAUCUGAACCGAAACCCAAAACCAAAAACAAAACCAAAAUCAGAUAAAAACAUACUAUAUUUAAAAUACAAUUUUUAUAUAUUUUUUAUUAAUUAAUAUAUAUUAAUAAUUUAAUUUACUAUUUAUAUAUUAAAUACUCAAAUUUAGAUUUACAAAAAUUAUUUUGAAAUACCUAUUAGUAUUUCUACUAUUAAAAAGAGAUAAAGGGUAAAAAUGGUAUUUUAAAAAUUUAACUCAGAUUCAAAUGGGCUUUAACGGAUCUUAACUAGAGGAGGGUAUUUAUGAUAAUUUUUCACAUUUUGGAGGGCAUUUGUGAUAUUAUUAAUUUUGGAAGGGUAUUGAUGAAAUUAAUAGUUCCUAAAGGGGCAUCUAUGAAAUUAUUCCUAUAUAUAUAUAUAUAUAUAAAAUUGAGCUCUUAUACUUUAAAAAAUAUUAAGUUAUUGGUGUUUAUAGAUUUUCAGCCCUUCAAUUAAAAAAUAUACGAUUAGAAUAAUAAUAGCUCUCUAAGGUUGAGCGAGUGGUUGAUUAAAUAGUAUAAUCUACUGAAUGAAAACAAUCAAAGGAAUAGAUCUAAGUUGCAAGCACCAAGUGCUUGGUUACAAGCACCAUAGCCGAACACUCUCUCUCUCUCUCUAUAUUGAUAGAGGUAAUACGUUAUGUGCUUUAUUUUUUUAAAACAAAUUUAGCUGAAAAUAUGAAACAACUUGGUUUGAAAUUUAGGAUCUUAAAUAUCAAUCAUUAAGUUAUUUGUCACUUAUGUUACCGUCGGUAGGUCCGAAGGAAAGUAUCUCAUCCCUAAAUUUCUUAGGAAUAAAAAAAAACACUUAAUUACACUCUAUUAUUUUGUACUUAUAAGUUUCUUCACUAUACUGUACUAAUUAUUUUUUUCAAAAAUAUUAUUAUAUUAUUAUAUUUUAUCAAUUUUUAUAAUAUAAAAAGUUAAACAGUUAUGAAAUACAAUAUAUAGUAUAGUGUAAUUAAGCCAAUAGAAAACCGUUGUAUUUUUCUGGAGUUAUCCAAACCGGGAGAUAAGAAACAGAGAGCGCGGGAUCGUCGACGACUCCUCCCUUCCCCGCUCUCUCUCUUUUUCAUCGUCUUAUCCCCCAUCGCACGCCUCCCAAAUAAACGCUUCCUCCGCCGCCGCCGCCGCCGCCGCCGCCAUGAGCGGCCUCAUCUCCUCCGCCGAGCUCGGCUCCUCCGCCUCGUUCCUCCACCUCGACCUCCUCCGACCACGUCGCCCUCGGCCUAGGGCUCUUCCCACCAGGCCCAAGUGGGCGAGCUCCCCUCGCGCCAACCUCUCUUCCGGUGAACCCUCACCUCCUCAAUCCCAUUACCAUCUCAUCGCAUCCUCUGUGUAUUUUCUUCUUAUGCUGCAAUUGAACCGCGAGAGACAAAACCAUCAUCUGGGUUUUUCGUCCUGUAGGUGUUUGAUGUAAUGCCUCAACGAUAAUACCCAUUUUUGUCACCUCAUCAUAUGCUAUUUAUUUAGUUCUUAUGUUGCAAUUGAUCUGCGGGAGCCAAAACCAUCAUCUAGGUUUUUCGUCUUGUAGGUGUUUAAUGUAAUGCCUCAACGACAAUGCCUGUUUUAGUUAGGUCAAUGGCAUUUUUAGCUUUGAGCCAGUUGGCAAAAAUGCUUGAAUAGUGACUGAUUAUUUGUUAUCACAUUCUCUCUUGGCUUCAAACUUUCCAAUCCCAUCCCUAUUUUAUCCCAUAUUUAGUUUGUAUGUUGCAAUUGAACCAUGAGAAACAAGGCCAUCAUAUGGGAUUUUCGUCUUAUAGGUGUUUUAUGCAAUGCCUCAACAAUAAUAACCUUUUCUUUUUUGAAGUCAAUGCCGUUUUUCAGCUUCGGCCCUCUUGGGGAAAACACUUGAAUAAGUGAUUGAUUACAAUCCUACCAAAUGCUAUUUAAUUCUCUUUCGCUAGGAGAGCUGUCAAAGACGAAAAGCAUUAUCUCGGUUUUUCCUCUUUUAGGUAUUUGAUCCAACACCUCAACAACAAUUGCCUUUUCCUUGAAAUCAAGAACAUUAUUAGAUUAAUUCAUUGAUGGGCAUAGGGUUUGUUUCAGAGUGUUCAGGAUUGUAUGUUAACAGCACUUGAUAUGCAUCAAGGGCCCUCCUUAUUACAUGAAGCUCUUUGUAGAAUGUGUUCGCAUUUGAAUGAGUAAUACUAUACUUGCCUACAUAUUUUACAUUUGUUUUCUUACAUGCCGAGACUGAGGAUUUUAAUCGGUUACUUGGUACAAAAUCGCGAGGACGGUGGUAUAGUUCAUGGGUAGAAUGGUAAUAGCAACAACUAAACAAAACUAAUAGAAAUCUGCUACAUCAAUGGAAAUAAACUGUUGAAAAACUUCUUUAACUGGGCAAAUUAUUUGCUAUUUGGAUAUCAUGCUUGGAGAUAUGCUAGGGCCUGGUUUUAUGCUAGAACAUGUUAGUCAAUAUGUCUUCUAAGUUACUUGACUUAUGAGCUGGCUAUAAGUAAGUGAGACAUUCCUGAUUCUUCAGGAUUUUUUUUUAUAAAAUCAACUUUUAGGUGGAGCCACUAUCUGAGAAAUCCGUAGUACUAAAAACCAAUUCUUAUGAUACAAUUUCCAGACAAAAUUCUAAUCAAAUGCAAGUUAUCGCUGUAUGACUUGUUUCACAAUCUGAAGAAGCCCUUAAUAUUUAGUACUUGAUAAUUAAUGUUUAAUAGUAACCGAUAUCUUAUUUAUGUAGGAGAAGUUAUUUCUGUUAAUUGGUUGAAAUGAUGAUUGGGAUACAUAUUUCGUCCUAGAUCCCCUGUUGGUUCAGGCCGCCAGAGGGAAUUCCAUUGCCCGCCCGCCGGCAUGGAUGAUGCGCCAGGCUGGACGAUACAUGUCAGCAUAUCAAAAGCUUGCAGAGAAGCACCCGUCAUUUAGGGAGAGGUCAGAGACCGUCGAUCUUAUAGUGGAGAUCACGUUGCAGCCGUGGAGGGCUUUUAAGCCAGAUGGAGUUAUAAUAUUCUCUGAUAUUCUCACUCCUCUUCCGGCAAUUGGCGUUCCAUUCGAAAUAUCAGAUGCAAAGGGUCCUAUUAUUCAGUCUCCAGUUCAGUUUGAAGAGCAUCUGGAAAAUUUGCAUCCCAUUGAUUUGGAAAAGCUUCAGUUUGUGGGUGAAUCUCUCAGAAUCUUGCGCAGAGAGGUAUAUUCGUGUAUGCUAUUCUUUUAUGAUUUGUAGUGAAGACAUUUUUGGAAUAUUUUCUUCUCUUCCUUCACUGUUUUGUGAAGGGAUUUUACACCAGUAGGGUGGUAAUGAUAAUUGGCAAGGUUCACUUGCUCCACUAAAAUAUCUCCCUUAAGUGAUGCUAGCUCAUUGUUCACUGAAUCUUUUCUUGAAAGUUGAUUACUCAUUACAGUUGUCAGGCCUUUUAGAUAUCUACUAUUGGCAUUGUUCAAUCUGUGGCUUAAGAUCCUACAUCUCUAUCUAGGUUAUUUCCAAACUUUGAUUUAUCUUUGCAAACCCUACACUGUAUGUGAGCAUUGACAUAUGCAUCUUUUAUUUCCUGUGUUUGAGCAUAUGAUUUUGCCUUUGUAAUUAUUUGUUUCUGUUUUCUUUGAAUUUCUUUCUGUUAUGGAAAGAUUUGAAACUAUGCAAUGCCAUAUGUGAGUUUACUCUAAAAUGUAGCAACGGCACCUCCAUUUGAUUUUUGAUACAUGUGUACUACCUUUCAUUUCAUUGUUGAUCUCUAUCCAGAUAUCUUGCAUCAGUUUUUAUAGUUUAUACUCUAAUUAGCAAUUGAUAUUAUUGUUUCGUCAUUUGAGAGCUGCAAAAUUUUGGUAUAUUACAUGCUUGUGAAGAAGCAACCAUUGGUUUCUUUUGUGUAGUCAAUGUCUUUAUCUUGCUUAGCCCUAUCUUACUUGCACUUAUAGAUUGGGGAGAAUGCGGCCUUGCUGGGUUUUGUGGGCGCCCCAUGGACAAUUGCCACCUACGUGGUGGAAGGUGGAACAACCAGCACAUACAAAACUAUAAAACGAAUGUGCUAUACCGCACCACAUGUCUUGAGGGCUCUUCUUUCUCACCUGACAAAAGCAAUAGCUGACUAUAUUAUUUUCCAAGUAAACUCGGGAGCUCAGUGUAUACAAAUUUUCGAUUCAUGGGGUGGACAACUCCCACCUCAUUUGUGGGAGGACUGGUCGAAGCCAUAUAUCAAACAGGUAUAAUAAACAUCAGAGUUAGCUCCAUUUAUAAUAAACAUCGGAGUUAACUCCAUUUAUAUUGCAUAUAUGAUCUCUGAAAUUUUCUUCAAUUUUGUAUGCAACCCUUAUAUUUGUUAGAUUGGUAAAAAUGUUUUUAUAGUCAUUCUAGUAUCCUUAUAUUGCGACUUUGUCCUUGCGACAGAUGCUAUACUUUGUAGUAUGUUGCAAGUUCGUCCCUUACCAUCAAGAGGAAUCUGUUUUCUUGAAAAAUGUACAAUGAUUUUGUUUUUCAGUUUACGUGAGACAAAAAAAAAAAAGUUAUUUUCCAGCAGAAAAAGAAAUAAAUGGAUGUCAGAUAUUUUGUUUAACAGCCAGGAAUGGAAUUGUUAUAUAUGAAGAAAGGUCACAGAUUCAAAUGUUUUAGUAAAUACUUCAACAGGAAAAAAAGAAAACAUGCUUGAUAUUAGUAAAUUAUUCUGCAUUCUUAACUUACUUUCGCUGAAUUGAGAUUAUGGAUCUAUGCUACUCUUUAGACUUACCACUUCUAUUUUAUGUUUUUUUUUUUUUUCCCUAUUUGCAGAUAGUGAGUGCAGUAAGAAAACAAUGCCCUCAAGUGCCAAUUGUGCUGUAUAUAAAUGGAAAUGGAGGCCUUCUUGAGCGCAUGAAAGGAACUGGGGUUGAUGUGAUCGGGCUCGAUUGGACGGUGGAUAUGGCGGAUGGGAGAAGGAGACUUGGGAAUGAUAUUGGCGUGCAAGGCAACGUGGACCCUGCCUUACUCUUUUCCCCACUCCCAGUGCUGACUGACGAAAUUCAUAGGUAAUUGAUUUCUGCUUAAUUUUCUUAAUUGCUAUUUGUUUAUGUUUUUACUUUUUGGUUCUUACCUCAAUCUGGUAAUGGCUGCAUUCAAUAACUCCUCAUUAGUUUUUUAUUUAAUUUAAAUGUCAACCUAUUCUGUUGAAAUAUCAACUUAUUUUGGUUGGGGUUAGUGUAGAUGCUUAGCUUAGUCAUGCUCAGUAUGCAAGAGAAAUACUAUACAGGCACAUGACUGUGCAAGCACAUAGUUUCCUAUGUUUCAUCUAGAAGCUUCUUUAAGAAUUAAGAUUGUUGUUCCUUUGUUUCCUGUUUUUAACUUUUAGCAGGACUGAAUUGAUUUUCAGAGAAAAGUAAGUGCAUAGUGUAUUCAGUGCUGUAUAUCAUGAAUUAGAUUAUUUUUUCCUUUUGAACAUUUGAAAAAUUACCACAGAUCUAUGGUUUCAACUGAGUAUAAUUUGAAGCUACAAUUAUGCUAGGACCGAGCAUUAACUGUAACUUAUGCAGGUUGCGUUAACCUCAGCUUAAUCAACAGUAUAUGCAGUUGUACUAAUCUUUCUGAUGGUCGCAAGAACCUUUUUUUGCUCUGUUUUGACUUAUGCCUGAUAUCUCUGCAUUCUUAUUUGAUCUCCUAGGGUUGUCAAGGCUGCAGGCCGGAGGGGUCAUAUAUUAAAUCUGGGCCAUGGAGUUCUUGUUCAGACCCCAGAAGAGGCGGUCGCUCAUUUCUUUGAGGUCGCGAGGGGCUUGAGAUAUGACACCUUGUUUGAGGAUUGCAAAUCUGAGCAAUUGGAGACUGUAGGUUAAAAGAUGUAUUGCAUGGCUUGCCGGGUCUCUAAAUUCUUUUGGUGCUCAUGAUACAUGAUGCGUGGAUGGGUGGAUGGUUAUGAUGCAAGAGUUUGUUCAUUGCGGCGGAGACCACUCAAUGUAAGUGUACUCUAUCCUGCAUCAGUAGACUUAAAAUGUUGUUGUUUUUUGUUUGUUUAUUGUAACCUUCGUAGCUAGCGAUAGAGAAGAGGUUUUUUGGGUUUCGUAUGUGCUUCCUAAUUUAUUAGAAUUCGUUGGUAAAUGAUGCUUUGUUUUCGACUUUCCAUGUUGAAUGGCUGCUAUUACUUCAAUGCUUGCUACUAUGAACUUGCAGAAAACCUAACUCUGAAUUACAAACUUGUUUUCUGUGCUUCUUAAUAUUACUUUGUAUUAUUCAAUUUGGAUGCUCUAUCGUUGGAAAUAAGUCAAUAAUCUGUGUCUCUCUCAACAAAUAUGUAUAUUAGUGUGUAGCUUCCCCUGUAUUUGAAAAUAUUCUACCCUGCUUGUUUAAAUGAUUCUUCUGUUUGGUAGAUUCUGUCAUUUCAUUACGCCGCGGAAUUGGAUUAAAGUAUAAAGAUUUUUGGUUAUAGUGUUUUUGAUGCAGUUGAUCAUAUCCAAAGCAUUACAUUUGAUUUUAUGACUUAGUUUGUAUGAUAAAUGUUACAUAGUCAAAUACAAACUACACUGGGGCGAAGCCAGGAUUCGAUCCCGAAGGGGCCAAAAAAGUCAAAAAUUUUGACCAAUAAAAGCCUUAAUUAAUUUUGUUAACCUUGAAAUCAACAGAAAUUAGAUAUUAGAAAAGAAAGCCAAUAUCAAAAUCAAGAAUUUUAUGCAUCUUGGAUAAUAGUGAAUUAAGACACUAAAAUUAAACACAAAAAAAAGUUUGUAAUAGUCUAGCAGGGGUGCUUUUAAAAGUAUAUAGACAUAUAUGUGCUAUCAAGUUGUUUUCGAUGAUGAAAUUUUUUGAACGGAUGACAGGUUCAGUUAGAUUUAAUCUAAAAUAUAUGAUAUAUGAUGUAUUUAGAAAAUAAAUUUUAUGAUAUUUUUAUUACAUAUAUGAAGUGAUUGAGAGAAUUGGAACUUAACAAUUAAAAAUAAAAAUUUCACAUAAGGUGAUAAUGCGACACUUUUUUUUAUCGGAGAUAUAGAUCUUGCUUUAGAUGGUAUGAAGAAUUUUUUAUCAAAAUUUCAUAUUAUUUGGAUGUUUUUGCAAAGUUAAACUUGCAAAACAUCUCAUCAACUAUUAAAAUUAUUGAUUUUGAAUUGCAUCGAUCGCUUGGUGAAUAAUAACGAAGUAUGUCAUUUAGGUAGUUCAAAUACUUUAAAUCCAAUCUAAUGGAGUUUAUUAUUGAUUUGAAAGUUUCAAGAUAAAAAAUAAGUUAAAAAAUUUUUUUUGAGUACAAAAGCUUUCGUUCUUCAAAAAGCACCCCCAGCUGGUCUCUUUGCGAUAGAGUCCAUCUAGGGUUCUUUUAAAAACAUAGAGGCCUCCUGUAUUUUUCAAUGGGCGAUCGUUUUGUUAGAUUGUAGAAAAAAUUUUAAAUACCAUUUUUGUCGUUUCGCAUUUUUUUACUUUAGUACCUUGUGAUUAAAGUGUAUCAAUUUAGUACCAUGUAAUUUUAUUUUUUUUUUUUUAUCAGUCCCUCUAUUGACUUUUCGUUAAAUCACAUACAAACAAAUUUUAGAUACUCCGCCUACAAUAUAUCGAAUAUUCACUUUAGUAUUCUUUAGUUUUAACUUUGUCACUAAUUUAACGAAAAAAACUAGCGGGGGAAAUAAUAAAAAGAAAAAAAAAAAAUCACAGGGUACGAAUGUGACAGACUUUAAAUCAGGGUACUAAAGUGAGAAAGUGCGAAACCAUAUGGGUGAUGUUUGAAGUUUUUUUUUUUUUUAUUUAAAGUAUUUAUGUAGUAGAUUCAAGUUAUAUGAAUUAAGAUUUCAGAUCAAAACUGCAUACGUUUGUUUAUAGAUAAGUCACAAAAUAUUAAAGGCUAUAAAAAUUAGUUCUAUUAAAAUUUCGAAAAAUACAGUGCAGCAUUUAUUAUUAAAAAUUCUACCAGGCAUUAAAGUUGAUACCGUAACUGUAAAAUCUUGUAGCAAUUUCUGAAAAAAAAAAAAGAAAAAGAAGAGAGAGAGAGAGAGAGAGAGAGAGAGAGAGAGAGAGAGAGAGAGAGCGCGCGUAAAAGUAACGUUCUCAACACAAACCGUGCGUUCAUAUGUAGUUCGCAAUAGACAUGUACACGCUCCAAGCCUUCGAUACGUAAUUAGGGCCAAAUCCAGGCCCUCGCACAGAGCUGAAGUUUUGACAUGCACGAUUCACACACAACAGCGGACGAGUACGCAGCGAACUCCCUUAUUCAAAAGCAUUCAGCAAACACAACCUACUUAACCAGUGAAGUACGCACUAAUCGAACUUCGGUCUCAGUGAAGUACGUACUAACAAACUAUUCUGCGAAAGAGCUAAAUUCUGUAGCUACAUACUUGUGGAUGUUGCUGCUGUAGUUAUUGAUGAUGUCGAAGUACCUACUCCACAGCAUGAUCCCGCCGUACCUGGACGCCCCCUGCACUAUGGGGAGCACGUCGUUGACGAGCUUGGCAGGCGGAACGUACCCGCUGCCGGAGGCAUUGGGGGCCGCUGGGAGUCCCAGGUACACGGCGUCGAUGUGGUUCGAGCUCGACCACUCGAUCCACGCACUCUUGAACUCCUGGACGUUGCGUGCCGAGUACUCGCACGGCGGGUUGUUGUAGAACUGCACCCACGCGAACUGGAACAGCCCGGUGUUGAGCGCUGACCCGAGAAGUUUGUCCGGGUACGGGCACUGCGGCGCCGCGGAGAGAUAGUACUUCGACGUCGACGUCGAGAAGUGCUGGUUCAGGUGCUUCGCCAGGUUGUCGUAGUGGUCAGGUUUCCCCAUCACGAUGGCGAGGUCGAUGCCGUCGAGGACGGCGGCAUUGCCGAAGGGUCGGGAGCCCGACGACCCGCCGAGGAAGCUGUUCCACAGGUAGUCAGCGACGCCCUGCGCGUCCUCGGAGGACGAAAGGGAGUAGCUGCCGACAGCGCCGCCGAGGGCGAGGAAGACUUUGACGUUCCUGCUCUGGCAGGCUUUGACAUGGCCGCCGAUAAAGGCGCAGCUGCCGGGGUAGGAAGCGUCGCAGUGGCCGGCGAGGUUGAGGGCGGGGGUCCGGCCGGCACCGAAGACGUUGAGGAAGGCGAUCAUCACGUAGGAGUAGAGACCGGUGGCGCACGCUUCGGCGAGGGUGCCCUCGCGGCUGUCCUGGCCCCAGUAUACGGCGAUGUCGCCGCGGCCGUGGGAGGCGGGCAGCAGGGCAGAGAGUGUUAGCAGGAGGAAGAAUGGGAGGGUGGCCAUCAGUUAGAAUGGAUUGGGAUGGCUUGCAACUGCUAUCCUUCACCUUCACCCACCCCUAUAUAGAGAGGAAGUCUACAAUGUAGCACUUAGCCACUUACAUCACAUUAUUAAUAAUCAGUCAACCAUAAUUUUUUAUAAAAAAUAUAAUAAAAAUAUUUUUUAUAAUUAUGAUAGAAUGGGUAAACUAAAAAAUAAUAAUAUGAUGCAUUCUAUACUUUUUUUUUUUUUUUUUUUCUUUUUUUGCAUAUAAGGGUAUAGCAGGGUUGGUGAGGACCCCCUCAAGUACAAUUCCAUUCAGAACAGCCUCCCAAUAUAUUAUGGUGAAUUUUUCCCCUAUUGAAAAAGAGCUUGUUAAGUCCACAACUCAUUUCAGAUUCUAAACCUACAAAUACUUUAAUUUAGGAAAAAUUUCAAAUACCACCCAUGUGGCUUCACACUUCACUUUAGUACCAUGUGGUUUAAAAUGUAUCAGGGCAUGUUAGUUUCACCGUAAGUGAACUUUGAGUUGAAAUAAAUUUUGGGUUGAGCUAGAGUUCAGGUAAAAAUUACUUCACUUCCGCUAUUUAUUUUUUGUUGUGCAAGUGAAGUUCUGUCAGUUCUGCUGUUUGUUUAGUAAUAAAUAGAUGACGUAGAGAAUGUAGUUCUCCACUUCCGUUAUUUGUUUCACCGAAAACUAUUUAAUCCGUACACCUCCGGUAAACUUACCUCAUAAUAAAUGACAUUACUUUUUAUUUUGUAACUUAGUAAAUAAAAAAUUAUAAUAAAUAAAAAAUAAUAUAAUUAUAUAUAUAAUUAUAAAAUAAAAUUUAAAAAAUUAUAUUAAUUUUUUUUGCAUAUAACAAAUAAAAUUCUAAAGUUAAAAAAUUAUUAACAUUUAACAAAUAUUUGAAAUAUAUAAAUUAAAUAAAAGAUAUAUUGAAACUUAAAUUAUAUAUUAUAUAGGAUAAGUGUUUAAAAAAGUGAAAAAAAAAGUAAUAAUACAAACGAUAUCGGAGAAGGAUUAAAGAACCAAAACACAAAAAAGAAGAAGAAGAUGAUGAAUAAUAUAACCUGCACCGCCGAUGGAGAAUCGGGCUCCGGAAUGAUCGGGAUCGAAGAAGAUGGAGGAGCAGGCUUGGGAGAGAGAGGCUUUUUUUUUUUUGGGUCCGUAGAGAAAAAGGGAGGGGGUGAACGUGGAGGCGUAAGGGGAGAGAAGAGAGGGAGAGUAACCCUAACGUUAUGAGUGUAAUUAAAGUUUUCAAACUAUUUCUCUUCACCUCACCGAAAUUGACUUUGCCCACUAAGAAGGCGAAGUCAACUUCGAUAUUUUGGAUGAAGUGAACUUUCGACCGUAAUAAUAUUACGGUGACCCAAACAGCGGAAGUGGUCAGUUUUUACCGAAAACUACUUCCCCAUCCUCAUUCAUAGUGAAACGAAUAUGCCCUUAGUGUCCUGUGGUUUUAUUUUUAUCCUUUUAUUAUUGAUUCCACUUUAAAUCAGUGAUAAAGUUAAAACUAAAAUAUAUUUAAGUGAAUAUUGAAUAAACCUAGGCGGAGUAUAUAAUUUCACGAAUUAUUAACGGAGAAGCUGACAAAAAGAUAAAAAUAAAAUCACAUAACACUUAUUUGAUACACUUUAAACUAUAGGAUACUAACAUGAGAAAAUGCGAAACCACGGGGGUGAUAUAUGAAGUUUAUCCUUUAAAUAAAAGCGAACCUUUCUCUACAAAUUGUAUCACCUAAUUUUUUUUUUUUUUUUUCAACUAAGAAUCAACAAAAGGUCAAUAAAUUCUGCAAUUCUCGGAAGAAAAAUUAUAGAGAUUACAAUUUUUUUUUUUUUUAUUGUAGACUUAGCAUUUCUAGUAAAUAAGUGCGUCGACUGUCCGUCGAAAGGAUAGUUUUGAGUCUGAUGAGCUUCAACUCACCUAGAAGAUAACAAAAUCACCGAGAAAAGGAAAUCCGACGAUAAUACGAGGGAAUUUUUUUCCAUGUACCUUCCACAUGAUAAUGAUCGGCAGCACGCUUAUAGUGCGAACAGCAUACACAGGCAUUUUCUGCACAUACAACUGUCAGAAAACAACACAUAGCUAGGCGACACUCAAAUCGUAAUGAUUCGAAUCUGGAAUAAAUGGAUCUGAAAAUCUGUUUUGAUAUAUCCUACGAAACAAUCAUUUCUCCUACAAGCUUAAGCCAUUAGAAGCAUGCGAAAAAAGGGAGACCACACAAACAUUGGAAAGCACAUAAAUGAAUUGGUAACAAUAAAAACGUAAAAUGGGUGUUUCACUUAUGGUUUAAGAAAUGAAAAAAGGAAAAAAAAGAAAAAGAAAAAAAGAGAGAAAAUUAGCCCCUACAACAUAAUCUCUGAAAGAAAAACUGAGGCUUCUCUCGAUCUAACAGAGAUGAGAUGAUUUAAUAUCUUCGACAAAAUUUGGUAAGCACUUUUGGUUGACCACGGAACACAAAGGUGCGGCGACUCCUGAUGAACCCUUAACAGUUUCGAAUCCCAAUAAGACUUCAUCUUUCUAAAGGAAUUGAGUAAAACUGAUCAUGAAAUUAGCGAAGUAUAUACUUCUGUUGGCAGUGCAGUUUCAUUGAAUCUGAUGAGUCAGUCAUACGAACAUUAACCGAGUCCAGUGCGUCUGCUUGAUGAGUAAUUUAUUCCUACUUUGUCAAUAUCACUACACUACGGAUGAACCGAGUCCAAUGUGUCUGCUUGAUGAGUAAUUUAUUCCUACUUUGUCAAUAUCACCAUGCCACGGAUGUCGCAGCUCGUGUCAAUCUGCCGACUACUGCAGACUAUUGGCGCUUCUAAUAAUAUUACGUAGAUGGAACCUUGUAAGCGAACUGUGUGUUGAUCAUGAUGUGUUCCUUUGGUGUAAGACAUACUUAACCACUUCGUAAAAGGAAACGACGAUCCCAACAGAGGGCCCAGCCCGCCCAACUCGUGGGCCUACACCUGUGAAGAGACCCUUCACUCCGCCACUCCUGGAAAGAGAAAUAGCAUGUGUUGAUCUCUCAAAAGAAUAGCAUGUAAUGACUAGUGAGGCCCUUGUGAAGUGUGAACUUUAACUAAAACUUUCUAAAAAAAAUUGACACUAUAGUUUCGACCAGCAAGUGUUUUAAGCAGUCCAAAUUAUCAAGGGAUAGUUCUAGUUCUGGUUUCAGUCCUAGCUGCUAAAGUUUUGGUCCCAUUGAUUUGUGGUUUCAGUUGCCAGCUACAUAUGUUGAAAAGCCUCUGAAGGUGAAAAGAACAUGAAAUUAAUACAAUAACUAGAAAUUUUAUAAUAAUGCAAGUUAUUUCAACAAUAAUUUGAUACUAACCAAGCCAAUUGAUUGUUAAAAUCUGACAGUGCAAACAAACUUUAGUCGACUAGAGAGAGACACUGCAAAACAAAAUAUUCUCAAGAUCUCUUCAAAAAACAACAGAAAAUGUUUUCAGUUUCGGAGGUCCGAUUUUCAGGUCAAAGCCAAUCCAAAUUGUUAAAUUAAAUGAAACAACUGUUUUUCUCCAAAAGCUUACGUUGAUAGAAAAUGGUGUUUUCAUAUUUUUAUAUUUAACACUCCCGCACGUCUGAACUCGAGACUCUUUUAUAGGUCCAUGACGUGGAUUUGAAUUAAAUUAGAGAAAAUUAAUUAUGUUAGGAGCCUAACAUAUCUCAAACUUAGGACCUCCUGUUUUGCUACCAUAUUAAAUAUAUGAAAUAAUCGUUAUUCUCUAAAAGUUGGUAGAGAACGGUGUUUUUAUAUUCUUACAUUUAACACUCUCCUUCACAUCUAGGCUCAAGAGUUUCUGCUAGGCCCAUGACGUGGACUUGAUUAAACAGGAAGAAAUCAAUAAUGCUAGGAGCUUAGCGUAACUCGAACUCAAGGCCUUCUACUCUGAUAUUUUAAUAUGUGAAACAACCGUUUUCUCUAAAAGCUUAAACUGAUAGAGAAUGGUGUUUUUAUAUUUUUAUAUUUAUCACAAACUAAAAUGUCUCAGUUUUUAAGUGUUUUCAUCUCAAAUUUCAAAUCAUUGUCAGCAUAGUAACAAUAAACCUCUAUGCCCAAAAAUAAUAAUAACAGGAAUUAACUUAAAUACGUAAGUUGGUUGAUGAAGCUACUUCACAUAUCUCUCGUCAACAUGAUAGCAUGAAGAACAUAUGAAGAUGAGUAUGAAUAGAAAGCAAAGGUAAAGGGACAUUCGGUGGCCCUGACAAUGCAACACUAACUUAGUAUGUGCAUUAAAUGCAAACUUGAAUUAUGGAAGAUUGAAGAAGAAUACCUCCAAAUGUCCAAUAAUGUUUGCCUUGUAGUCAUUUUCAUAGCCUUCUCUGGAUCCUUCUGAAAUGAAUAUGCUUAAGUGUCAGUGUAGCAUACAACUGUGCAUAACAAGUACAAGUAUGGUAAUUUAUAUAGUAAGUUCCUGGCUUGUAAGAUAACUUCAGCAAGGUCCGAACUUUUCAUCUUUCUAUGCAAGUCCCUGAAUUGUUAGUUUUUCUUUCACAAAACUCCCGACUAAAGAUAUUCUUGGGAAAUCUAAGAAUAAAUACCAGCAUUUUUCCCUUAGAUCCCCAUGUUGUUUGCAGAUUCACCCUUGUAAACAUCAUAGACGCAUCUCUUUACUAAAACUUUACCCCUCCUCACAUAAUAAUCUAACUUUAUCAACGUCAAAUACAUAUCAAAUUAAAAGGGAAAACAUAUUAUGGUGAAAGGAUAAAAGAUAAGCCUAUUACCAAAAUAUUACCAAAAGUUCCAAAAUUCUAUUGAAAGAUGCUCACCAGGGACUUCUUUGUAAGAAAAAAAUUAAAAUUAAAGGGCCUACAUGAAAAGAUGAAAAGUUAGGUUUUUUUAAAAAAUUGUCCUAAAAGCUGGGGACUUAAAUAGAUAUUUCGGUAACUAGUACUCUUCUGAGUUAAUUCAGGAAAAAUUCCAGCAACAAACAGGAAAAGUGUGUACAAAAUUUAAAACAAACAAGCCAAAGAACAUAAUGGAACCAAGUGUUCUUUACAUAAUUACUGUUAGGUGAUAUCUUUCUUCAAAUGGUUGCUAUUCAUAGUUCUAAUAAUACUAAAAUAAAUGGUGAGGAAUGAGGAUGAAAAGAUACACAGAAGAUAUAAAGAAACCAACCUCAAUUUGUCUCCUUGUUUUUGCAACAUCUAGGGGGCAUGUAGCAGCAGCAGCAAGAGUACCUGCUACAAAACCAGCUGAGAAAUUUGCUCCUAAAACGCUAGCUGCAUUGCCCUCCUCACCAACUAAAGCAAGGAGUUUCCGACGAGUCUGCAGAAAAUAUUCAACCAACAUGCUAAGUGGCCAAAAUAAAAUGAUAUGAUUGCAUGUUGGAUGAAAAUAACAGAUAUUAACACAACUGAGGGAAGGCUUCAACAGGUCAAGAAGAAAAGCAUAUAAUCGUAAAAUCUCAUUAGUUUUUUUGCAAACUGAAAUUCAAUACAGUAACUUUAUUUGUAAAAUUGCAACUAAGUUAUUUCCUGUUUCAGUUUAACCCAAAAGGCUUGACUUUGUGAAAAGAAAAAUAAAUUACAGUUAGCAAAUAUCACUAUAUCAACCAUUCCAUUGAGGCUUUUCACACCAGAUUAGACUUUGUGAGCUGACUUAAUUGUUUGAACAAAACAAAACUAAGAAAUAUUCAACAACUAGUGAGACUUUUGCACCAAAUCAAGCAUUCUGGACCAAAUUGUUAUGGGAAAAAAGUUAGUACAUUUUAUUUAACGAGAUCAAAUUAGUGAAUCACAUUACAAUCUGGAAAAAGUUUUAAAGGGCUUUUGUGAUUUUAAAUCUGAAACCAAGAGCACAAAAUAUUGUCAUCGAAUGAGACCUCACCGGCUCAAGAGUACCCCAGCAUAUAGCAGAAAAAGGAACAUCACGAGCAAGUUGUGCACCCACACCAGUCCACAGAAUACGAUAGUUUUGUACUGCUUGCAAUGUCAAAACAUUAAUGGCAAUUUCUUUUCACAAAAGGCAGCUAACAUAAAACAAAUUUACAGGUAUGUAGUCUAAUGAUGACAACGAAAAUUGAAUCCAAUUGCUACCAUCCAAAGGAAAAAAUGAUGCUGUUCAUACUAAUGCAAGGAUAACAUGCAAAAAUGAAUACAAAGAAUGGAGGUAAAAUGCAUACUAGUUUGACUUGUAUUCUUUAAUGGUGAUAGAACACCAAGUAAUGUUUUCCACAUUCCAGGGGCCUUCACUCCAGUUUGAAACUCUUUAUAUGCCUGUAAAUGGUGAAACAAGUAACUACCUGCUUAGGAUUUCUAGCAAGCAAUAUUAAGCAGCAAAGUAUGAGAAAACCUGAUUUUGUAAAAAUUCAAAAGGCAAAUGCAGAUAAACAGCUUUCGAGAUUAGCGCACACAUAAAAAACAAUUUUCAUCGGACUGAGUCGCCCGCAUGUUUGGAACAUGAAACAAUGAAAGAAUGCGAUAUUAUUAAAAGCCAAGGAUCCUAAAUGAAAUAUGUAUGGGUCUCUUGAUUUGGAAAAUCUAUGAAUACAUGAAUUUACGAUUAUACCUGCAUGCGUGUCCUUGCCAGCUCUAUUGGAGAACAAGCUAUGCAUGCUAAUGAGCGUGCAACUGAACCUGCAACUAGUGGAGCAUAUGGUGUUAAACUAGGAGCAUUGCAGGUUGUGAAAUCUUCAAUCCAGUUGCGAAAUAUGUCAUAACAGGGUAAGUAUAUUCCAACCUGUUAGCAAAUCAUAAGAAUAUUAAAUUAGGUGUUAAAUAAAUGAGAUCCAUCAGCUAACAUAUGCAAUUAAAUAUAAUAGUCAUGCAUUCAAAUGGUAUUCCUUAUACUUUAGCAACAUAUUGUUUCUGGUCAAUAAUAAUCUAAAAAGGAUGAAGAACUCACUGUUGGUAUAGCUAAUGCUAAGCCUGCAUUUGUGCCCCUCCAUAAUCUAGCAAAUCCCUCCUGAUGUUUGCAACCCAAUUAGGAAAAAAUAAAUAAAUAAAGGGAAAGCAAAUAAGAUGAAGUGUAACUUGUCAACAUAAAGAAAGAGAGAAAAAUUAGCAAGGAAUAAAAUCAAUUAGUCACUGCUCUCACCUGUCUAACUACUUUAAAAAAGACGUCCAAAGUUCCUUUGUACUGAAAACAAUCAGAGGGGCAGACUGGCUCUGUCCCAAAUAUUACACUGCGAGUACAUGUUGGUGAACAUCUGAAAUCUGAAAGCAUCUGCACAUCAUUUUAAUAAGUUAGCAGCUAAGAAAAGAUAAGACGAAGAAUAAGAUGUUUUAUUUAAGUGGAUUAGACCAUCGGAAAAUAUAAAAUGCUAUCUAUAUCCUCGAUGAAAUGAUGCAUAAAUAAUACUGUAUCUUAUCCAUAUCUCGCCAUGUCACAAGGCAAGUAGAUGUGAGAAACAAACAUAUACAUAAUACAUUUCUCUCUCAUUGGUGAUGGUAAGAUGUGAGAAACAAAUAUAUACAUAAUACAUUUCUCUCUCAUUGGUGAUGGUAAGAUAACGUUUGCCUAGGAAAAAUGGAAAUAAAAACAAUAAGCCAAGCCAUCUCUACUCUUUAAAACGUCAAAGCCACUUCAUUGAGGAAUUCAUACUUGAUAGAGCUGUCAGAACACUCAAUCGAAAUAAUCAAGUGAAAGUAACAUUUUUUUUAUUUUAUAUUUGUAGUCCUUUGAUAGUCAGAGAUAUGCAUUUAGUUAAACAGUAUUUGCUUGUGAUUGUGCUCCUCUGUAAAAGAGACCUAGAAAGGCUCAAAUUCAGGCUCUAUCCUGAGAAUAAACUUCCACUAUAUAUCAUCAGGUUGGCUAAAUUGAAUGUAAUAUAUAACCAUUCAAUUUGUGAAGGAAAAGAUGCCUAUCUGCCCGAGACAUGUUAAUCCUGUGCUUUCUUUUCCUCAGUUUUUGUUUUUGGUUGUUUUUAGUUUGUCCUCUCCACAUCACUAUUCAACCAUUCAAACUACUCUGAUAAUAUUGCAACAUUUUUUCAGCAAGAGGUCAUUACUGAAAUAAUGGCACAAUCCUUAGACUGAGCUCUACACAUCAAAGUUGUCAACAGUGGCUGCUUAAGUACCUACAUAAUCCAAACGCUUCUUUGUGCGCACAACUUCCCCUCAAUUCCAAUUUCACAGUGCCAUAGUUUAUAAAUGAUCUGAGCUCGAUGGAAGAGUACAACAGAUUCAUCUUCCCUAGCCUUACAAACUCAAGUCAAUUAAUAUCUAUAUUUUAAUGCAAAUGCUAUAACAGCAGAUAGACAAAAAUCCAUUUGCACAUAUGUUGCAUAUAGCCAUGCACAUAUCCAUACAUGCAUACAAAUAGAACCUUACUUUGACUCUAUCGCUUAUCUUAUAUGCCAACAAGAGAUCUAAGAUAGCCAUAACAUAUCCCCUCACAUUAAACACCCAAAGGAUGCACAAACUACAUAAAUUAUAACACGUCACUUACAGUUUCUGUAAACUCAAAUGUAAACACUUUCACCACUGCAGUCGCUCUCUGCCUGCUAAUUUAUCAAUACUUAUGUGCUAAUGAUGUCUUCUAUGCAUGGUCAGCCUCUUUCAUUCGAGAUUAUAGUUUUUAACUAUCUCAACCCAUUCAGCCUCCUAGAAUCAACUUUUGCACAAAUGCCAAAAGGCACGGCAUGAGUCCAUCGUAAUUGAAUUCGCCAUCAAAAUUACUAACUUUCUUAAAAUCAAGAAAAGAGAGGAACACAAAAGUGACAGAGAUCAUACUUCGCUCGGCCCGAGGGACGCCAUUCGUCCACAUUGAUGCUGCGAGGGGUGAUAAUACGGAACCCCAGCCGCCUGCGCCUGUAACCUCGUCUGCAACCAAAAUCAAAGCAAAUAGCUGAGCCCUAAAACUAAAUCCCUAGCUAAAUAACACCAAAAUUCACACGAAAAACAACACAAAAUUCAUCUAGGGCCAAAAAACAAGAGACAAAUUACACACGAUCACGCUGGGGUUUCGAAACCGAUCACCUUCGCCACAUCGAGGGGGUUGACGAUGAUCGCGGAGAGGAACGCGGCUCCGGCGGCGGAGAGCGCCCGCUCGGCGAACCCCAACUCCGCGUCGGCCGCCGAUCCGCCGCGUCGCCGCCGGGCGCCGGGCGCGGGAGGUUGUCGAAGUCGACCCGCGACGCCGCGCUCAUCCAAGAGGGGAGGUUGUGGCGCGAACACCCCACCAUCGUUCUCUUCCCCCUUCAGUUUGUGGAAACCCUAGGAGAGGGGAGAGGUGGGCGGAGCCGCAACGUGUGGGAGCGAAGAGGACACCGCUCCUCUCUUUUAGGAGGAGGGAAACGAGAGGGAGGAGACGAAGAAGCCCCCGCUACCUUCGUCGCUUCUAGAAGCCCCGGGCCCCCUUAUAGGACCCGUGGCGCAUGCGGAAGCGUGAUAUCCACCCUUGGAUCAGGGCUUCAUCCCCCUACGGCGGUGGGAUGUUACGCUGACACGUGGGCCCCGCACUUGCGGGUCCCACAUGUCAGUGUAACGACGUGUGGUCCGUUAUUUUAGUUGGUCCUAUUUUUUUUUUUGUGCCUUUUUUUCUUUUUUUCUCCUAUAUAUAUAUAUAUAUAUUUUUUUUUUUAUUAGUUUUUGCAAUUCGAGCAUAUUGUUACACACAUUUUUAUGUCUUUAAUUUUGGUCUGCAUAGGUAUUAAAACACUGCUAGUGAAAAUCGAACUGCAUUAAAAAAAAAAUUAUAAAAAAAAAACCGCUUGGUCAAAGGAGAUAGGAGGGAUUGGAAUUUUAUGCGGUUGGGCGCACAAAAGGUUUUAUGCGGUCAAAUGGGAUACGGUAGGAAUUUUGGAAUAUUAUUAUAGUUUCUUGGAGGAAAAGGCAGCAACGAGGUUGCAUGAAUUUGUCGUCAAUUUGUCAGCUCACGGCUUCUGUCACGGCUCCGAGCAUAGUUAGUUAAAUAGUUUUUGACCCGUGCGAUACACGGAUAAUAUAAUAAUAUAAAAUAAUAAAAAUUAUUAUGUGAUGAUAAAAAAAAUAUUCUAAUUAAUAUUAUAUAUUUUUAACAAAUAAAGAAAUAUACUAUCAAUCUUAACUAUAAUAAUACAUAAUAAAGUAUAAAAGCUAGAGAAAAAAAGUUAUGGGCCAAAGUAAAUACUCAAGUAAAAAGCAAAAUUCAACCAUACUCUAUUAUCUAUAAAUUGUGUGCAAAAUAAUUCACAUUUAUAUAUUGAUGUGCAAAACGAAAUGAUAACUAAAAUUGGUAUGAAAAAUUACAAAUAACAUUAAUAAUUAAGAACUAACUCUAGGCUAUUCACCACCUCUGGACGAUGAAAUUCAAAUAUAGUAUACAGACAAAUGACUCUGACUUUGAUCUUCCAUUUGUCUCCAAGAGGAGUGAUGUCACGUAUAGAAUCAUACCCAAGUGCCAUAUUCUGAGAACAAUAAGACAUCCAAGAAAAAAAAUUAAUACUUACUUCGUAUUUAAAUAAUAAAAUAAAAAUAAUAUGUUCUAUUUUAAAGUAUUGACAUCUAAGAACUAAGAAAAUUACAGAAGGAGCGAUAGUAGGAAAAAAAAAAUUACGAAGUAAAAAUUAUAGAAGAAGUGAUAGUAUGGAAGUGACAUGCAAUAUUUAUAUCUAUACUAUUUAUAAAAGCGUGAGUUUUGAAUUUUUUUCUCUUUCCAAAAAUGCCUCUAUUCUUUUUUACUAAUAUUUUUAUGUUCAGUAAUUUUCAACCAAUCAUUUUAAAUAAUUAACUAAGUAAUAAUUUAUUCUAAAAUAAAGAUAUUAAUUUUUUGUAAUUAGAUCUAAUGAUUGAAAAUAAAAAUAUCUGUCACUUUUUGUGACAAUAAUACCCUCGCAUUUAUAUCAUAUUUUCUAUCUACGUGUUUCUUAAAUAUUUUCCUUCUUACGUGUAAUAUCCGCACCCACCAAUUCUUUCGCAACGUAAUAUCUGUGAAUUUCUCAAAUAUCUCAUUAGUCCACCUACCAUACACAUCCACUACCUACAUAGUAUCCAGUUAACCUUUCUCAUACGUAAUAUGACCUAAGUAAGUAAAUAAGAGAUUAAGAUAGUUUAUAUUUAAAUAUAAAAUAUAGAAGGUUCACAUAAUAUAUUUAAUUAUUAUAAUUUAUAUUUAUAAAUAAAAUAUAUUUAAAAUAUAUUAUAUAAUAAUGUAUUUUUAUAAAAAAUAAUAUAUAUAUAUAUAUAUAUAUAUAUCAAAGAGAGAGAGGGGUCUACUGGGCCCCUCUCUCUCAGGCGGUCCACGAGGUGAAGCCCACCUCGUGGACCGCGUGCAUAAUGGAAUGAACCCCGCAGCAUGAAGCCCGCCAUUUUUCCUGUAGCUUUUUUUUUUUUUCCGCUUGAAUGGAGCGGAAAACGAAGACUAAUUUGUCCACGAGGUGACGCCCUCGAGCAAGACGUGAUCCAACGCCGCGGCCCUAUUGCUCCCGGCAACGGCCAGGGCGGCGGAGGAGGACGACGACGAUGACACGGACGACUUCGGCUAAACCGCGAUACGACGAGUCCGCGACCGCCAGCCCUGUUUUUUUGGGCGAAUGAUUCGCGAAUCUCGAAUCAUUCGCGAAUAAUUAUUUUUGAUGAAAAAAAAGUGUAUUUUUUUGAAUUUUUCAGAAAAAUAUUGAUGCGGCCAUUUAAUUAGCUUUUUAAAAAAUUUGGAAAUAAUUCACGAAUUAUUCUUGAAUUAACUUCGCGAAUAAUUAUUUUUGACGAAAAAAAAGUGUUUUUUUUCGAAUUUUUCAGAAAAAUACUGAUGCGGCCGUUUAAUUAGCUUUUUCAAAAAUUUGCGAAUAAUUCGCGAAUUAACUAACUAUGGCUCUGAGUCGGCUUGAUAUACUGAAAGAUUUAAAUAUUCAUUGUCACUAAUCGUAUCUACCAUAAUAAGAUACCAGUAUAAUAGCAAAAUUUAAAAUUUAUAUUUUUUAGAUUAGUCAGUAAUAUUUUCAAUAAAAUUCAAAAUUUUAAUAAAGAUAUAAAAUGAGUAAUUAUAAUAUAUUUUUAUUUAAAAAAUAAAUAUUUUUUUCUAUUAUGUUUCGGCGCACAUGCAUUUUUAAUGAAAGACGCGCAUCUUGUCCUAUCGUGUCUGUAAAUUUAUGAUACGACACGUGCCAAGAUAUUUAAAUCCUUGAAUAUACCCGGACCCACUUAAGCCCGUUUAGUGUAACGGUUACAUAAAUAGCAUGGGCCCAUUAAAUUUAAAAAAUUCAAUUGAAAGAUAAUAAUAUUUGAUUAACGGUCAUGGAAACUUCGUAUAAUAGGAAAAGCAUAAGUUUUUAUUGAAGGUCUUUUUUCAGUAUCAUUAUCAGUUUUUAUUGUUUUAAACACUAGUUUUAUAUAAUUCUUAUUAUUGAUAAAGGAAUUUUUUUUUUAUUAUCAUUGUUCGUUCGAUUGAAUGCGUCACGGCAGAUGAAAACUUUUUUCAAAACUUUAGAAAGAGAAAAAAUUUAUUUUUUUUACCAAAAAUGAUUAUAAGCAAUCUAUUAUUUUCUCUUACAUGUUUUCCUAUAGAAUACUAUAUAUAUAUAUAGUUGAGCUAGGGUAUUUUUACAAGUAUCACCCCGAUGGUGCUAUUAGGUUUUUAGCCAUUGGAUCUACUUUUUAAUUACUAAUAGUCCUUGGAUCAAGCACUAUUCCACUUACCACCACCUAUCACCAUCAUCUCAACCUCACAUCUCUCCAUCCAAGGGCUAAAAACACUAAAGCACCACCCAGGGAAUACUUAUAAAAGUAUUCUAGCUCCACUCUCUCUCUCUCUCUCUCUCUCUCUCUCUCUUUCUCUCUCUCUCUCUCUCUCUCUCUCUCUCUAUAUAUAUAUAUAUAGAGAGAGAGCAGGGCUGCUGUGCUCUCAGGAGUACGGAGGCCUGUGUGCUCCUGAGCCGUUUUUGAUGAUGGAGUUUCCGAAUCGACGAUCGGCUCCGUUAAACUUGAUCUAGCAUAUUUGAAGUUUCUAGAAAAUAAUUUCUGCGAUUUUUUAAUAUCAUUUACCUAGCAAUCAAAAGGAUUCAAAAUUAAUAACUUUUAACGGCUGAAAAUAAAAAUUCUAUAAAAAGUGGUGAUAUAGCACUAAAAUUUUCGAUCAGAAAUACUAAUCUUGUCGUAGAUAGUAUAAAAAAUUUUGUAUCAAAAUUUCAUCUGAUUUGAAUACUUCUACACCGUUAAACUUGAAAACGGCAGAUAUCAACCAUUAAAAAUUAUUGAUUUUGAAUCCUUUCGAUCACUAGGUAAAUGAUAUCAAAAAAUUGCAAAAAUUAUUUUCUAGAAACUUCAAAUGCGCUUGAUCAAGUCUAACGGAGCUGAUCGUCGAUUCGAAAAUUCCAUCAUCAAAAAUGGCUCAGGAGCACGGAGGCCUCAAUGCUUCUGAGAGUACAGCAGCCCUGCUCUCUCUCUCUCUCUAUCUAUCUAUAUAUAUAUAUAUAUAUAUAUAUAUAUAUAUAAAAUGAUUGUGAGCAAUCAUUAUCAUUUUCUUAGAUAUAAUGAUUGCAAGCAAUCUAUCAUUUUCUCUUAUAGGUUUUUAUAUAGAAUUAUAUAGGUCAAUUUGCAUAUAAAUUCAUUAGUUUUCAACUUUUACAAAAUUAGAUCGUCUUUUUGGUUUUUACAGAUUCGAGCUAGAUUUUUAAAAAACUGAUCAAAAUAUUCUUAUACUCUUUUCUCUCUUUUUUUGGAGGCAGAGGCGGAGAUCUCGCGCGUUCUCGCCCUCGCUCUCGCCUGCGCACCCUCCCUCAGCCUUCCUUGCCUCCAACCCUGUCAAGAUUGUGCCUUAACUCUCUUUUUCUUUCCCUCUCCGACCCUCCUCCACCUCUUCCCGAGCUAUUUACAAUGGUAAAAAGGGUAACGUCAUGUCCUUUUCCUCUCCAACCCCCUCUACUGUUUUUGCGAUCUUCCAUGAUGGUAACAAAGAUAGCGCCGCAUCUUCUUCCUCCCCCUUCGCCGGUGCAGGCACUAUCGCCGGUGCCAGAGAAAAAGGACUCGGAGCAAUUGUGGGUGAGAGUGGAGCCGAGAAAAAAUAUGCAGAAAAUAAAAAAAAUAAAAAAAUAAAGAAAUAAAAUAUAAAAAAAUAGUUAUGUUUACAAUAAAAAGACCAAUUUGCAUAAAAAAUUUAUAGGUUUUGAGCUUUUGCAAAACUGAGCCACCAUUUUUGAUUUUGCAAAUUCGGACUGAAUUUUCAGAAAACUAACUAAAAUUGAUUUAAUGCUUGGUGACAUGUUCCUUUAAAGCUCAAUGUGAGAUUUGACCACAAUAUUUUCUUCUUUUUCUUUUUUGCUUUGAAUAGAUUCAAUUCAAUUCUCUCAAGCCAAAUGUGUUGAAGUUUUUCUUUUCCUUUUUUUGAGUGGAAAAAAACCAAAUUUUGACUUGACAUUUUAUUUGAGUAUGUUGUUGGUAAGUUGGAAUAAAAAAAAAAAGUGAUGAGACUGGUCUUCAAUUAAGGGAGUGUUUGGAUUGAUGAAAUUAAGUUUAAUCAAGUUUAAUAAAAAUAAAAAUGCUUCAUCGUUUGUAAAAAUAUUUAAAAUCGAGUUUAAAUCAGGUAGUAGUGAAUCUUCUCGGCAUUGUACAAUUGAUAACAAGACUAAUAAUUUCAUUCUUACCAAAUUGGUUUUAACUUAAUUACAAUUACAUUAAUUCAAACACCUCCCUAAAUUGUUUUUGUUGGUCCAUUUCAUGGACUUCAAAUGUGGACCACAUCAAUGUAGGCAAUGUUACUGCAAUAUGACUAUUUUUUUUUUUUUAAAAAAAAGGAGAAAGUAAAAGAUCAACUCUGGGAGUUCUUCUAUAGAUGAGAAACUGUUGCCUGCAUCUGGUGUGCCACAUCAUCCUUACACCACACCGUCCUAAAUUUUAGUGAAAUCUAACCCUUUGAGGAAUUUUUUUUUUUUUAACUAACUCUACGAGGGAUGUCAAUGGAUAUAGAUAUUCAAAAUUUUAUUCGAAUCCGAAUCUGAAUAAAACGGAUAUAUUCGAUGCUAAAUGGAUAUGGAUUCGGAUAUGAAUAUUAAAAAUAGAAAUCCGACGGAUAUGGAUUCGGAUAUAGAAUUUGACUGUACCCGAUCCAAACCCGAACAAGAUCAGAACCCGAAUUUAUUUUGUAUUAUAUAUAUAUAUAUAUAUAUAUAUAUAUAUAUAUUUGAUGUUAUAUUUGAAUUUGUAUUNUAUAUAUAUAUAUAUAUAUAUAUAUAUAUAUAUAUAUAUAUAUAUAUAUAUAUAUAUAUAUAUAUAUAGAGCAUGCUGUGCUCCGUGCUCCUGAGCCGUUUUCGAUGAUAAAAUUUUCAAAUCGACGAUCGGCUCCGUUAGACUUGAUCUAGGGUAUUUGAAGUUUCUAGAAAAUUUUUAGGUUCGGGUUUGGAUUCGGGUUUUGGAUUUUUGGUCGGCUUCAAGUUUGAAUAUGGAUUUUUAAAAUCUGUCGUGUUCGGAUCUCGGGUUUGGAGUCAGGUUUGGGUUUGGGUUUUUGAAAAUCCGCCCCAAAUUCGGCCCGUUGAUAUCUCUAAACUCUACAAUGUUGUAAUUUACGAAAUAAUCCCGCCAAGUUUAUAUUUGAAAUGCAGUGAAUCAUUAACCGAUUCACCAUCUUCAUAAUUGUUAAAAUUAUACGUAGAUUAUAUAAAAAAUAAUAAUAAAAAAGGUGGUUAGGAUUACACGUGAAUUAUUAAAUUUUUUAUUUGAUUGUUAGAAUUAUUUUUUUGAGAAAAGGUAGCACGCUACCUGCUUCAUUCAUUGAAAAUAUGAAUUAGGCUACAUGGGUGAGGCAGCCAGGGCCUCGAAGGAAGGGCGCGAAAAUAAAAAUAAAAUUAAAUUAAAAAAAAAAAACCGCUAUGGUAGGACGUCUAGCAGUUUAUGCACACAGCUCCCAAGAUUUCAGCAGAUUGUUAGAAUUAUAUGGAUGCUCCCAAGAUUUCAGCAGCUCCCAAGAUUUCAGCAGAUUGUUAGAAUUAUAUGGAUAGAUUGUUAGGAUUUUCAGGUUGUUAAGAUAAUAUCUGAUAUGUUGAAAUUUUUAUAUGGUUGUUAGGAUUAUAUAUAGUAUAUAGAAAAAAAUAGUAUUUUGUUCUUCCGCAGUUUGGCUCAUUUCAUUUUGCCACCUAGUACUUCAAAGAGUCGCACUUUUUUCUCUUGUGAUGUAGCAUAUUUUUCAUUCGUCACUAUGUAAUUUUUUUAAAAAUUUUUAUUUUGCUAUUCUAUUUUACAUAAAAUUUUUAGUGGCAAAGUGAAAUCUUUUGAACCAUAAGACGAUAAAGUAAAAAUGAGCUAUAUAAACGGCAGAAGACAAUUUGAAGUUUAUUCUUUAUCAUUCUUUAUUUAGGUAAGUAAUGAAAUUAAAAGUAUAACAGGAGAUGGAGCAUCAGAUAGAGAGAGAGAUCUCAUUCCUUAAUAAUAAGAAAACAUAAAAUAAAUAAUAACAUGGAAGUUUCCUUGUAGAAUUUUCAAGCCCAAACAAUACAUUCAAAUAUAACUUUCAUAAUUAAUGUUUUCUUUAACAAAGUCCUUGCUACUGCAAGCAUAUAUAUAAUUCAUAAUUUUUCCUUUCUAUAGGCCAAAAUACACAUUAAAAUACACAUUAUCUCUCUCUCUCUCUCUCUCUCUCUCUCUCUCCAAACACCAAACUAUAUAUAUAUAUAUAUAUAUAUAUAUAUANAUAUAUAUAUAUAUAUAUAUAUAUAUAUAUAUAUAUAUAUAUAAUAUAAUUCCAUUGAUCACAUACAUAUACCUCACCAUAUAUUACUACAUACGCAUUACAGAUACGUAUGCAUCACAAAAAUAACAAAACCUAGGCAUGCAUCAACCUUCCCACUAUUGCAUGCAUGCCCAUUAUUAUUUAUAUAUUAUUACCUUGUAGUUCUCUCCUCCUAGCCUCACUCUUUUACCUACUUACAUAACACAUAAUAAUAUUAUAUUAUAAAUUUAACUGCACAUGACCAAUCUCAACUUCAAAGAGUUAACAUGAGAGUAUCUACUUCUUAAAGUUUAGAUGGUCAUUUGCGGACGCUGCAUAUUUGAUCAUAUAUGCGGACGCUGCAUAUAUGAUCAUAUAUAUAAUAAGUUGUUAAGCUUUCUCGUCGGCGGCGGCCUCGUCCUCACCGGAGAUCUCCUCGAGGGAGAGGCCCAUGGUCUCCUUGACGAGGAAGGUGCAGAAGAAGCCGAGCAUGUUGGUGAAGGCGAGGGUGAUGAGCGCGCCCUUGAUCUGCGAAGCUUUGCCUUCGAGGGUGUAGUUCUGGACGAGGAAGGCGCCGACGAUGGCGCCGCCUUUGCCCGCGGCGGCGCUGAGGGCGUGGCAGGUGGAGCGGACGCGGGUCGGGAAGAGCUCGGCGGGGAGGACGAAGGUCGUGCUGUUGGGGCCGAAGUUGGCGAAGAAGAAGGUGAGGCCGUAGAGGAAGGCGAAGAGCCACGCAUUGUGGUUCUUCAGGUAGUCGUACUUGAGCCCCAGGAUCAGCAUGAACACCGACAUCAUGAAGAACCCGAUCAGCUGGAUCAGGUACCGCCCCAUUUUCUCGAUCGUCAGUACCGUGACCCUGCCGAUCGAGCAUAAUUAAAUAUUUAUAACGUCAUGCUGAUAUCAUUAUAUAGUGUCGAUAUAACGAAUUUCGCCUGUUUAUUUAUUGUGGAGAGGUGCUCGGUUUAGUUGAAAUUAAUUACCAGUAGCCCGGGAAGGUGCCGAAGAGCGCGACGACGAACAUGGCGCGAGAGGUCUCGAACAUCUCGCGCAGCGCGUUCACCUGCGUACGUUGGAUUUAGAUGUUAAAAUCUAUUUUUCGUUUCUGAGUUUUAUCGGAUUACGUACGUCAGCAUUGAAUGAAUUUAUCUGUCAAUAUCAAGAUCAGUUGAAGACCACAGACCUUGUCGGGCGUUUGGACGAGGUGAAUGGCGGGGAAGAUGUCCUUCUGGGUGAGGUUCUGGCUGUAGAAGGCGAUGUCGAGCAGAAACCACGUGGUCGUGGUGCCGAGGAGGUGGAAGCCGUGGCGGUGCAGGAACUCCCGCGACAGCAGCGAGUAGUUGUUGGCCGCCUUGAACUGCGCCAGCUUGUCGGCGUCGGCGUCGAUCUCCAGCUCCAUCACCUUCCCCAUGUCCAUCGCCGCCUGCUUCGCGUUGCCCGCGAUCAGCGCCGUGUACCGCGCGGUCUCCGGCAUCUUCAUCCUCCAGUAGAACGUCACCACCGCCGGCAGCGCCCCCAGCAUCAGCACGAUCCUCCACAGGUAGUCCGCCUCCUGCUGCGUCGACUGACUCCUGCUGUUUGCAUAGCUCGGCGCCGGAUAGCAGUCCAGGAAAAUCUUCGACAGCACCAUCGACACCAGCCCCGCGAAGAUGAUCCCCACGCCCUGCAUCGCGAACACGGCGGCGAUGAACGCGCCGCGCGUCUUCUUGUUGGCGUACUCCGACAUGAUCGUGGCGGAGAGCGGGUAGUCGCCGCCGAUGCCGAAGCCGAGCCAGAAGCGGAAGAAGCAGAGCGUGACCAUGACGGCCCGCGGGGAUCGGCCGAACGACAGGCCCGAGCAGAUGGCGCAGGCGGCCAUCAGCACGAGGGUCACGCCGUACACGCGCUUGCGGCCGAGCUUGUCGCCGAACCAGCCGAACACCAGCUGGCCCAUCAGCGUCCCGACCAGCGCCACGCCGGUCACCGCGUUGUUCACGUUGCGCGGCAGCUUCCCGGGCUUCGAGCUGCUCGCGUCGAAGUAGUAGAGGCGGCCGAGGAGCCUCGACACCGUGGAGAUGCAGAAGAGGUCGUACGCGUCCGUGAAGAACCCCAUGCCGGCGAUCACAAUCGCCGUAAUAUGAUACCUGUUGAAUACAUAACACAACAACAGAAACAGAAACAAAACAGUGUCCUCCUCCGUCAGCUUAAGCUCUUAGAAAAUAGAAAAUCAAUCUUUUAUCUUUCUUUAGAGUCCAGACGAGUUCAGACUAGGACAUGACUUGACCUAACUUGACCUGCUCUGACCUGGCUCGAGGCUACCGACAAAUAGAGCUUACCAUUGCGUGCGCGCGGAGUCGAGCGCCGAGAGGACGGCAAGGCUCGGCGAGGACAUGGUCGAACACUUGGUGGGUGUGGGGAUAGCUACAAUAUACACUUACUAAGAUGAUGGUUGUGUGAGAGGGAGAAGUGUGGGGAGUUUCUAUUUAUAGAUCAUAUAGUAGAUGAUGUAAAAGAGGGAGCGUUUAAAACAAAGGGCAUAUACUGAAGUAUAGUGUAGUUGGCAUUGUGCGCAGUGCACAUUGUUGGCUCUCUAUAUACAUUAUCCAAUUUAAUUAGUCCUUGUAAUUUGGCUCUAUUAGAUGUAACCUGUAGUUUGGAUUUGCAUUUAAGCAUAGACCACAAUGUAUAAAGUGUUGUUUUUAUUUAGUUGUUGGCUUAUUUACAUCUAAGAUCGGCCAUGUUAAAUAUAAUACAAUUUAGAAUAUAUUUAAAAAUCCUAGGAGUGAAAUUUCGUGUUUUUACGAUGCAUAUAUAUAAUAUACCUAGUGAUUAGGUGAUCUCUAAUACACCUCACAUUUAGCAACUUAAAUACAACAUAAAUAGUGUUCAAACGUUCAAAUUCUAAAUAUGUUUAAUGAUAUCGAUUGAUACAGAGAAACUAAUUUAGGUUUGAAAUAAAAGGAGUUUUAUUUGAAAUAAGUUGGGUUUUGAAAGGUGUUUAUAUGUAUGAUAAUAUGAAAUAAUUCAGAUUCUGCAACAGUGUAAUUGGUGUGCGCUUUAAAAUUGAACUUGGUUGCUUUAGUUAAUUUGGUUGUUCUUUACAAAUAAGUUAUGAUCAAAUCCGAUAAAAUUGGUGGUCAUUAAUAAAAUUGUGUGCGGAGAUAAGAGUUCAUUCUGUGCUCUUUUUCUAAUAUUUUGUGAAACAGACGAUAAAUCGACCCGAGUUUUACGGUAAAGGAAAGAAAUCAUUUCGAAAGAUAUUUUUAAGAGCAGACAAGUGGCAAAAAGCUUGGUAGUUGAUACCCGAGAUCCUAAGUUCGAAUUCUAGUUGAUUCAUAUUUGCAGCUAAGUUUAUUUCUAAAUUAAAUAAACUAAGCGGGUAGCAUGCUAUCUAUCUCUAAAAAAGAGUAGACACUUUUGAUUUCGAGAUUCAAAAUCUUAAACUUUGAAUAUAAUUUUCUUUUAGUUCUUCUAAUAAAAUAAAAAAUUAUUUCUUACACGCGCAUCAUGAAUUCAUUGGUUCUUUAGAAUAUAUAUAUAUAUAUAUAUAUAUAUAUAUAUAUAUAUAUAUAUAUAUAUUAUAUAUUAUAUAUUAUAUCUCAAUGAAUGAUAAGAUUGACGACCGUCCUAGAGUAAGUGCAAAGGGCUUGAUGGUUGGUAUCCGAAACCAAGUUCGAAUCCUAAUUGAUUCACAUUUCUAGCUAAGUUUAUUUCUAAAAUGAAAUAAAGAACGGGUAACGUACUACCUAUCUCUCAAAAAAAAAAAACAAAAAAAGAAUGAUAAGAUUGAAAAGCCCUUAACCACUUGGGCUAAGAUGGUUUUUUUAAUAUUACCUAUACUAUAUAUAAAGUCACGUAUUUUAAAUUUCGGUUUGUUGAUAGACUCAUUUCAAAAUUUUUCUUUUUUCGUACGCAAAAUAAAUAAUAUAAAGAUAGUUCCUCUUUUUUCUCUAACUAUUAAUAUUUUAUAUUUUUAUUAAAUAUUUUUAUCAUUCAACAUUUUUUUAAGAUAAAUAUUUAUAUAUUAUUUUUAUUUUAUCUACUAAUAUUUUAUUACUAUAUUAACUUUUCAAUUUUCAAUUUUGAUACUUUUAGUUUAAAGUAUAUAUUUAUAUUUUGAAUUUAUCAGAAUUAAAAAAAUAUAAAAAAAAUAUUUGAUGUAUAUCUAUAUCUAUACAAAUAUAUUAAUUUUAUAAAAUAAAAAAUAUGUAAUUAUUGUUGACAACAACUAUUUAAAUUUAAGUUAAAAUAUAAUAACUAUUUUCUAAUAGUAUAUAAUAAAUAAUUUUUUUAAAAUUUAAAUCUUAUAUUGUAAAUUUUGAAUAAAUAUGAUGUACAAAUUUAUAUUAAUUUAAAAUAAUUAUUAAAAUAUUUGUUACGUGGAUUUGCACAUAUAUUCAACUAGUUUUUAAAGAAAUGUAAAAGAGGACAAAAUUUUUGCCUUGGCCUCAUAAAGAAGCUGUUUGACCUCUUCAAACUUAACAUAAUCUAAUUGAGGAAAAUAAGAUAAAAAUUUCCCUCCAAAAUCAUUGGAGACUCUUUUUUUCUACCAAUUUAAGCAUUUAGUUAAAAAUGGAAAACAACCAACCCUUACCACUAAUCAAAAUUACUCAAACGGAUGAGGAUGAUGUGAUUGUUUAUGGAUAGGUAAAGGCUAAAUAUGGGACUAAUGACAAAUUUAUAUUAAGACCAAUGAAUCUCUUUUAUCAUUUGUGAAGCAAACAAAGGGGGAGAAGGAAAAGGGAAAUAAGAAUGGCGAAAUUCUGGUUCCUCUUGUUCUUUUCCGUCGCGGUUGGCUUCUUUGUGAUGGGCUCGACGGCUCACGACGAGCAUAUCGUCGGCGGUCGCGACGGGUGGACAAUCCCCCCGAACGCAACCUUCUAUCAGGACUGGGCUAAGACGCAGAACUUCAAAGUAGGGGAUAGAUUGGGUGAGCAUCUUUUCCUUCGGAAAAAAACCAAAUCAAACUCAGUCAGUGUACAACGAAAUGAAGAAGUAGAGAAGUUAAUCAAAAAGCGUUUUAUUUGGCUCAUUAAUUGUUACUAUUAUUUGCAGUAUUCCCGUAUACGAUCGAAAUGUACACCGUAGUGGAGGCAUCGAAGGAGGACUUCGACAACUGCACGCAGAGAGACAUCAAGGCCAGAUACUAUGCUCCGCCUACCGUCCUCGAGCUGCUCGAGCCCGGUCCGCAUUACUACUACUGCGGGGUCGGGUUGCACUGCGAGGCCGGCCAGAAGCUCAGCAUCGUCGUCUGCGACCGCCCCAACCGCCGCCGUGUGUGAGCCUACACUACAAGAUUCCAAUGUACUGGAUGAUAGUCCAUUUGUGAAAGGGUUUAGCCAAACAAGUCCCCAGUCAUUUCUAACCCUUGUGUUUCUCCUUUUUGGAAUUCGGAGAUCACGAAAACAAUGUAUAUUCUGACGAGCAUGAAAUACGUUACAUCACAGCAAAACUGGAGAAAAAACUUGCGUGUAUGUAAACUUGCAACAGCUGUAUCUGAUGUACUGCAUUCAGUAUCAAAAGAACCCUGCAACAAUCACUGGUAUGGCGGUGCUGAAUCUUUUCGAAUAAUUUUCUCAUCAAAAGAAGGAAAAAAAAAAAAAAAACAUCAGAAUCGAAUCAAUUUCGAAGAAUCUAAAGAAAUCUGAAGAGCUGAAUUGUUCCAAACAUCAAAUUUCCAUUACAAUAGUUAAAAUACAGAAAUGUUUAACUUCUUUGUAAAGAGCUUGCAGAGAACAAUCUGGCUGGAAAGGCAAUAACAUAGACUAUAGUAUAUUUCAUACGGCUAGAACAGUCAUCGAACUUCAGGCGAUUAACAAGGCAAAUGAACCCAAACAAUCUCCCCUACCCUUUCGUCGGUGAGCUUAGCCCAUCGCGUACUUCUGCGUCCAGCUCCUCGCGGUGGUCUCGUACUUGUUCUUAUCGGUCUUGUACAUGUGCGCAAUCUCCGGAACCAAUGGGUCGUCUGGGUUCGGGUCCGUUAAUAGGGAGCAGAUAGAAAGCAACACCUGAAAGCAAAGGAAAAUAAUCGCUUUUAUCAGCUUAAAAACAAAGGUGAUUCAGGGUGAAUUAUUUUAGCAUGGUAUAGCAGUAGGAAAUUAUAAAUACGAUAUAAAACCACAUAUAAUCGUGAAAUUAAUGAAACCAAAUGAAUGGAUAGCCCUUAAUAUGACCCCCGCAAAAAGUGGGAAACUCAAGUCCCUUGUGGUAAGUUGUUGCAAAUUGAACCGUAGAACGGUAAUGUGAUGUUGGGCUAUACUCUAUAGCAUAGGAGAUAUUUGAAAUUUUCUGAUAAAAUAAUCCAGUGUAUUUGGCAAGCUGAUAUGGCUACUACCGAUGGUCAACAAAUAUAAACAAAGCUUUGUAACCGGUCAAAUUAAGAAAAUUCGUUCCAGCCCUUUCCAGCCCUAUUAUUGAGCAUUGAAUAUCAUCAGAAUGUAUGUAUUUUGACCACCUAAUAAAAUCAACAAAAAUGUACUACAAGGAAGAGAUGUAACCUUGGAAACAGUUAAAGCAGGACUCCAUUGUUCCUUUAAGAUGUCAAGGCAAAUGCUUCCAUUGCUGUUAAUAUUUGGGUGAAAAACCUUCGUCUUAAAUGCUACCUGCAAAGCACACAUGAAACUAGUUAGAUAUUUGCAGAAAAUCUUACAACGGUUUUUUCAGCAGAGCCAUUUUAAUAAAUGAAAUAAUGCUUUUGGUAGAACCAAAAAUUCUUAUAGUCGCAGUAUGUGCACAGAACACCAUGAAGUUGAUGUGCGAGUUUGGAUUUGAUGCCCUCAUCCCGCAUAAUUGUAAAAAUACCAUUUAGCUUAAAGAAAGUAAGAAACUAGAUUUGCUAGCUCCCAUGUCAUAUGAAAAAAAUUUGUAAUUUCGUUGAAUGCCAUACUAUCAAUUAAUGACUCUUGAUUCAUAUGUCUUGUCACAGCACAUUUUUGUCACAUUCACUGUCCUACCCAACAAUGAUUUUCGAAUGCAUAUCAAGAUCUUGAAAGUUGAAACUAAAAAUAGAGUAGUUCUCAUCUAAGCCUUUUCUCAACACCUGGAUUAUGACUGAAGUUUAUUAGGAUUCUUGAAAUAAUUUACAAGUUCUUUGUGGUCAUAGUUCAGCCUAAAGCAACCCACUGGAUAGUGGUACCUCAUUUUUGCCAAGCCAAAAAGUCGAAACGUAGAAACAUCUUGGCACGAAACAUGUAGUGCCGGAUGGUGAAUAGGGAUAUGUGAGACAAAUUAGUCACAAUUAGGCUUCUUAACUCAAAAAGGAGUUCAAAAUCCUCUAAACACGAAAACUUAGGCAAAGAGAUAUCACAACUUGCGACCAGAAGCAGCUUACUAAUGUAUAUAGGGGGAAAAGAAAACAGUGUUGACAAUACCUUGGGUGGUUUAAAUGGGUAAUCCGGAGGAAAGUGGAUGGUAACAAGAAAGACUCCCCCUGCAUAAGGACUAUCAGGUGGACCCAUUAUCGUCGCUUGCCAAUGAAACAUGUCUUCGGCAACAGGGCCUGUAUUGUUCCAUUACAUCCAAAAUGGUGACAUAAGUUAAAAAAACUGAAAAUAGGAGGCAAAUUACAUUAGAUUAACAAAAGAGAAACUUCUAAUACAAAAUUGACCAGGAUGCUCAAUACUCGACCAAGUUGACAACGGAGACAAACGAGGUAGAUUACAUUUCCCUUUUCAAGUACUCCACGAGAGGAAAAUAAAAGAAUCGAAAAAACGAAUCAAAGUAAUAAAAGAUAGAGAAUCUGUAAAAACUUGAAGCAUGAAGGCAUGAGCACAUAAUGUGCCCCACUCUGCUAUCCAAGUUAAAGAUCCUUUUCAGUAAGUUUGGUAGGAAAUUACACUAGAAAAACCAUUGCCUAAAGUACCAAUAAGCAGUUGGCUUUCUCCCAAAUUUUGAAAACACAGUUUACUAUAACGUGGAACCAAAAAACUAGAAGAACCAUCAACCAUCUAGAUAUCAUCUUACAAAUCCCCACAGAAUAUCAAUUCAUGUCGAAAAUUAUGCAACUGCAAACUCUAUGUAACUAGCACCAAUCACCCAUGUUCUUAUCCUAUAUUAUCCUCCGUAGCAACUCAAAUUAUAAACAAGUUGCAAAAGGAGGAAAAAGAAAAGGUGAAAUUUUUACUGAUUAUUUCACUCAGGCCAUCCAUAGGACAAAUUCUUACCAAGACUAAAUUACUAAAAGUAACGGAAUAUGGAGCACACAGCAAAACUCAACGUCAAGCUGUUCAUUACCAAGUACACAUGCUCUUAAUCUAAAAUCCAAACCUUAAAAAGUCGUCCUUUUUAUAUUAAUCCCUUCAAAGGCCUAGAAAUCCAACAAAGGAACAGGGACCUGAAGAAGCAAUCUCUUUCAUAUUAGUGUAAAACCCAAAUUUGAAAAAGUUUUUUUUUUUUUUUUUAUGUUAAUGUCCUCGAAGGCCUAAAAAUCUAACAGAGUCACAGAGAUCGCCCCAUGGCUCGAAUCGCACAUUUACAUGAUAUCAUAUAAGCUCAAAUCGAGAUCAAAACAGAUCGAAAUUAGGGUUCCGAUCGGAGAGAGACGCACCUGCGCUACAUGAUGUGGGGGGAUCCUUCUGGAGAUCCUUGAGCUCCUUGAGGAUCCGCUUCGAGGCCAUGGUGCUAACGACGACGACGACGACGACGACCUAGUUUGAUUCCAAUCAAAUCAAAUCCCACCACAUAGAUCGAUCACAGAGAAAGAGAGAGAGAGAUUCGUACCUGGGGAAUGGGGAGAGAUCGUUUCUCUCUCUAUACGCGGUUGGAAUUUAUACGUGAAUUUUUUUUUUUUGGUUGGUUUGCGUGGAGGAAUCGUCUUGCUUUGGGAGAAGGAGAGGAGAAAAGUAUGGGGACGGGGACGAAGAGGUUAAAAUGUAUAGAAACCCCCUCAACUAUAGGACAUAUUGAAUUGUGCUCCUCAACUAUAAUUUCGUUUUUGCUUUUAUGAAUUUUUUUUGACUAAACUCAUCAAAUUUCAAUAGAUUGAAAAAUUAAGGGUGAUCUCAAUCCAAAUUUUCAAAGUUGAAGGGGUCUCCAUAUAUUUUCAGCUCCUGUUUUUUUUUUGUUAGAAUUUAGUUAGAUUUGUAGUUGAUUUCCUAGUUGAGUAAUAAUUAAUAUUUAAAUUUAUUAGAGAUAAAUUAAAAUUUAAAUAUUAAUUAGAAUAUAAAUCUAAUUGGAUUAGGAUAAAUAUUUAAAUCUAUUAGAGAUGAACUAAAUAUAGAUCUAAAUAUUAUUUGGAAUAGAAAUCCUAAUUAUAGUGGGAUUUGGGGCGCGUUCUAUUGAUGCAUUAGAGAUAAACCCGAUUCGACUCUUUUGUUGCAGAAUCCCAACAUCCGGUACCGGAUCAACAGCAGUUAAUAUCAAAGUAGGAUGCGGAUUCACAAAAUUCAGUACCAAGGCAAGUACGGGAUCUCCAACAGUUUUUAUAUCACGGGUAUCAGAAUUUUGAAAUGAUUUGAAAUAUACAAAAUUUACAGUAAAAAUGUAUGGAACUUAUCCAACAAUAAUCUCACUAUCUAAUUUUUAAAAAUUUUAAUGUUUCUAUCCAAUUUUUAAAUAUUGUAAUUUUUAUUACCUAAUAACUUUUCUGUUAUAAAAUUUUGCCGCAUUGUUUAUUUUAAUUGAGAAAGUCAAAUCAAUGAAUUGAAAAGUUGAACAGUAAAAUCAAAAGUUUCGAGAUUAUGCAGGUAUAGUUCAAGUUUUAUUCAUUUUGACAAAAAAAAAUGUUAUUCAAAAAUUUGAGAUUAGUAUUUUGUUUUAUAAUAUUAUAAACUUAAUAUCUAAUUUCUCAAUAAUUUUUAAUUCGGAUAGUAAAAUCAAAAAUUUUAAAAUAGAUUAAUACAUUAGUGUUUCCUGAUGAAAGUGACUGAAUCAUCAACUAAUAAUAUGUCAAUUUAGAUAGCUUCAUGAAAGAUGCAGAUCUCAAAUACAUUUUAAUCAGAUCUUUAAAUUUAACCACCACUUCAAUAGAUAUUUGGACAAAGAUCUCAUAUUAUUUUGUGAUUCCCUGUAAAGUUUUGCAUCUAAAUUUACAACAGCAAAAAAUAUGAGAAGGUUUUGACAUUAAGCCUAAGAAAUAAGCAUAAAACAUGAUUAAAACCUGCUUAAUUAAACAACAAACACUUAAAAAAUGGCAUUUAAGUUCCUACUUACUACAACUUAAUCCACAUCUUUAUCUUUGUACCAACACAAUGAUAGCUCCAUGCAAAAGCUACAAUACAUGACACACACACACACAAAUCAACCACAUUGCAUUGAGAAACUCUCUUUUCUCAGAUGCUCAAUCCAGUGUGAUCAAGAUGAUCACUGCAGUAUGUGGAAGGGAUCGCGGAGAGCUCCAAUUUCGCGGUCCAUUCCUCGCCGGGUUUCAAGUUCACUGGCCUCUCAAUCAGCGCUCCAUCGACACACAGCGUCUGCUUAUACUCCUCGUCCCCGAAAUCGACCAUCGUCUUUGAUUUCCUCUCCCAUGGGUUCCAUACAACUGCGAGCAUUUCAAUAGACAACAUGCUCAAAAAUUGUUCGCAUCGAAUCAUAUUAUCGAAAAGAAGUGUAAUUUGAAGAUUCUGUUAUUUGUUUCGACAGUCUAAAGGGACAUUACAGCAUAUGAAAUUGUGAAUGUUAUAAUCUUACAAUAUCCCCAGUUCAGUGGUGAUAUCUGAAUCUCAGUUUGCGUGCGGGAUUACAAGGGAAUAAAUUCGGCAAUAUCUUGCAUUAAAAUAAACACAGGAAGAAAAAACUCGGUGAUAAUUAACUUGACAAGCCAGAUUAUUCGAGAGUAACCUUAAAAAGUGCUUUUCCAGCCAAAAUUAACUCAUCUCUCACUGUAUUCGCACUUAUCCUUGUAAUUAUUAGAACUAUUUCUAUAAGCAUAAAUACAAAUAGAGAUAUUGCCGCAGAACAUAAUUUGUCACCAUGAGAAUCUUUUCGGUUUUGCAGCUUUGUGUCAUUUUCUUUUAUCUUUGAAACUCUAGCCAAUUUUUUCUGUUUCUUUGUUUUUUUGUAUUAGAACCUCCUAAUACUUGAAAGUUGGUUACAGUUGCCACAUACGCGUGCGUGCGCACACAAAAUCCAUUAGCCUUUAGUUGCAAAAGCGGAAAAGAUGUGAUUUAUUUAUGCAAACUAUACAUCGUAAAAUUUGAAAAGCGAAAAAAAAGUAAAGAAAAAAAGAAAAAAGGGUUCAUACCAACAUCAGGAAGACCUUCCUUUCUUAUCACGAAAGUGCGCUUCUUUUCGUGGUCAAGAACUGCAACGAUAUUCGGGGAACCGAGAUAAACUCGAUCAACCUGUAAAUAUUGUAACAUAAUCACUUGGUAGCAUCGAAAAAUAGUUAAAGCGAUUAAAAUAACAUUUGUUUUCAUGAUGAAACAUACCUCAGAUUCAAAUGUUAUGGCAUCUCCUUGCUCGGUAAAACGUUCUCGUUGGCAGAGAUUGUCGAGAUAGUCAAGGGUCUCGAGACCUUCUAUUCUGACUUCGCUAUAGAAAUACAAGGUUUACUGAUAUCUUAAUAAAUAGGCAAAAUUUCCAAAUUAUGAAGCCUAAAAAUGGUACAGUAAACAAGAGCAGAUUCGAAGCUUCAUCGGUUCGAAAAAAGAAUAAUGAAUUUAUCUGAAAGGGCAUUUAUGAGUCGAAAAUAUAUCUACAAACAUGUAGUCCUACAAAAACCGAAAUUUCAUACAACCUUGAAAACUAAUGCCCAUGCAAUUACACAAGAGCCCCUCUUUCGAAAACUUUUUCCAACAUGAAACUGAUUUACUCCUCGAAUUGGAUGAGAGGUCUUAUGUAUCUGCUCUUAUGAGGGGAAUAUAUGAGAAUUCAGAUUUUACAGAGAUAUACAUAUGAACAGAUUUUGAAGGGAUAGGUAUAUAGACAUAGCAAUGUGGUUAAUAAAACUAACCAUCCUAAUUUAUCAAUGGAGUUAGGAGUAUUUGUAUACCUGAUGUCAGAAACCGACAGGUACGUGUGAUAAGCAAAUGAGAAGCUAAAUGGCUUCGCAUCGAUGUUUCUAAUGCGGGAUACCAUUGUGAGGUUUCCAUCCAUGGCAAGAGAUACUCUAAGGCGGAACUCGAAACUGGGACACAAAUGUAAUUUAGUUAUCUUGAUAUUUUAUCAAGCACAUAUAAGCCGAGAAAAUUAUAACAAUGUAGAAAAGAAAAAAAAAAAUAUUGAUGCAUGAAAAGAGGUAAAUUUGUAGCCAUUAUCUGUUAAAUAUAAAAAAUAUUUAAAAUACCGUUCUCUACCAGCUUAAGCUUUUAAAGUACAACAACCUUUCAUUUAAUUCAAGUCCACAUCAUGGGCCAGUAAAAAGUCUCGACUCCAGACAUGAGGGGGAGUGUUAAAUUUAAAUAUAUUUAAAACAUUAUUUUCUACCAACUUAAGCUUUUAGAGCACAGCAGUUGUUUCAUAUCUUUCACAUCAUCUAUAGCAGCGGGUCAUGACAACAGAUGCACCAACUAGAUCUUACUGCAGAUGUGCCUUGUGAAUAGAACUGUUCAGAGAAGCAAUAUCAACUUUCUCAAUAAAUCCCCGAAACAGCUUCAAGCUGCAGCUAAAAACUAUAAGCUUCAAUUUGAAGCUUCUAUUUUUUGGGUACAAAAUCUCAUUUUAGCUUAUCAAAAUAGUUUGACUUUUUUUUACCCAAAAUGUCAUAUUUUCUUACUUAUUGCUAUCAUUUAGCAGUGGAGACUACCAACCUAAAAUGUUGAGUCCACCUCAAUAUGAUUUUCAUGAGAAGUUAACCGCACCUAACACCCCGUCUACGAUCUACGCCCGUUUCUGUAUUUUUAUCUCUUCCACAGUAAUAACAACCAUUCUUAUGGCUUUGAUAUAACAUUUCUUCAAAAGCAUAAAAUUAUAAUUCGUAACAUCAAGAUUACACAUACAAGUUUAAAAAAAAUGUGUCCUACCAAUGCGGCCAGCACUUGAGAUCAUCUUCAGAAGGCUUCAGAAGCAGAUCGACAGAAACUUUUCCAUUGCCGUCGUUGGACGGCGUGGGUGGGGGCUCAUUAUCUAUGCUCCACAUCCUGUUCCUUGCAAACCCAUGUUGCUCCAACAUUCCGCAAUUACCGAACUAUCGAGAGGUCGCAAAGCAAAAAGGAAAAUAUAGAAGUAAUCAGAGAUGAUAGCUAAUAAAAUCAUGAAACCACAAAUGUUGAAAUCGAUGCCUCUGUAUCUACAAUGUUGCAGUAUGUUGGUAAGAUGACACAGAUAAUGUUAUAGUCCAAGAAUAUGAAGCAUUUUUAAAUUUCAAUCAAAAUGGCUUUACUUAAACUCAUGCUCUAGCUUGAUUUAGACAAAGAUUUGCAUCGGCUGGUUUAUUAUCACCGAGCUUCAAUCAGUUCCCUAUCAUUUCAACUGGUUUUUCUCCUGUUAAACUCAAAAAAAAAAGAUUGAAAAUCUAAAAUUGUUACAUUACAUCUUUUUUCAACCUAGAGUAUUGAGGUUGCAUAAUAUUAUCACGUCGCUCAGCAGCCUUUCGCCAUUCGGUAGAUUACUAUGCUAAUCUUUUUUAGACUAUGUAACAAAUAAUUAUCCCAGUGAUCUCUAACAAUAUUUUAUAUCGUAUAUUUGCAUGUUAUUGAAGUAAAAUUUACCGUCUUUCCAAUCUCAAAAAUCUAAUUUCUUUUUCCAAUAUUUCUUUCUCCUCCCCUUUUUUCCUUUUUAUCCUUCUCUUGUAUUUCUUACCGUACGAAAUUUUCAGGUUCAAAGCGAUAACCCACGAAACCACAUCCUAAAACCACUAAACCCUUUUUCUUAGGUGAAACACAAAAGCAUAAAUUGAGUUUCCAAACCAUGAUCUGAAGCAAUAAUUUGGAUCGAAUAACUAGCCAUUCAUAUAUAAAAUCGGCAUAAGACCUGUAGGAAAUCAGUGGAUAGACCUGUACCUGCGGAAAGUAGAUAGAAAUUCCACCUCGCAUCGCUUUCGGCGGCUUCAAUAUUGCCUACAUUUUUUAGAUCAACCACAUAAAACUGAGCAUUAGUAUACGUAAAAAAGCUUAUAAUUCUGCAGAACAACUUACGUAAAUAAAACUACUAACAAUUUCAUCACAUCAGAGCGAAAAAUAUUAACAUCUCCAAUAUAAACUAUAUUCCCAUUCAAUCGACAAAAUCCUUACUAAAUGCUUCUAAUAUGAUAAAAAUCACAAAUUCAUAAAAAACAGUACAAAUCGAGCAUGCAUCACAACGAAAUGCUUCCUAAUGAGAAAGAAAUACAUUGAUUGACCUGAUUUUUGAAGUAAUCUUUCUACUCUGAGAAACAACAGUCAAGCAUUUGGCAAAUAAAAAAUUGAAACUUUUGUUGUAGCUGGAAGCUAAAAUGAGCUUUUGGGCUCCAAAAGUAGAAGCCACAAGCAAUUUGGCGCUUCUUUGAACAGCUUCACACAAAAAACAUUUCUCUACGAGUUUCAGUGAAGCCAAAACAGGCCUUAAGUGAAAUUAAUGGAGCCCCACCUUACUGCUAGUGAACAAGAGCUCUUCGCCCCGUUCGUUCCUCCAUGAAAUCACCUGCCCUCCAUGUAGACUAACCUGAAUUAUUACCACAAGAUUGUUUAUCAUACAGAAAGAAAACAAAUUGCAAUAAAGAAAUUUUUCCUAUUUUAGUAAGUAUCUCAUGUCCAAAGCAAAGAGUUCUCUCUAAUACUAAAACAAAUAAUCUUAAAACACAGAAAAACUGAAACAAAAGGGGGAGAGCAGCAAAGAGCAAGAGGAACUCACUCUAGCUGAAGCUCCGCGAGGCGAUCGAAGGACGACUUGAUCGAUAUUAUUCCAAUCCUUUAUAACUUCAAAUUCAGAUUUUUGAUCCCAUAUAGUUGUUGAAUGGCCCAUAUUCAGCAAAGAUCAAAAAACAAAAAAAGAAAAGAAGAAGAAAAUGGUAGUUCUGAGAUUGCGAAAACCCUCUCUAAUCCAGAAAAAAUGGCUCCCACAACACACAAUAAGCAAGAUUAGUUACUUCUAUUAAUAGCCAAACUCAGGAACAGUCAUUGUUACACAGUGGAGAGGGAGGGGGUGGGGAUGGGACUAGUCCCCAACACUUUUCUUGUGACUAGAAGGCCUAAAUCAUGUGAAUGAAGGAGACCCAAUAACUUAUCUAAUCUAUACUUUUAACCAACUUAUAUUUCAACAAAUGCAACAACUACUCAAAGUAUGUAAAUUUCUUAAUAAAAAAAAAAAAACACAAAGAGGCUUCUUUAGAUUCAGCUGAGGAUAGUAAGUUAAGAAGUAAUGAAAAGUGUAAUCAAAUUUGCAUCAAAACCUAAGGAAUUGAGACCAAUAAACAAAGACCCAGUAAUCUAAUUAGCAUGAGGAAAAAAAAAUCCCAAAUUUGAUAUUGAGCUGCUCAAAGUUCACUCCUUUCCCAACUUUUUUUUUUUUUUUCCCUACUUUUCAACACUUCAAUCUAUGAAAAAGGUAGCAACUUGGUGACCAAAAGCACUACAAAACCUGGAAAAACUCCACAAAAAGUUGGAAACUUUAGCCUAAAUCAACUCAACCAAAUCUCACCAAUGGAUCUCACAGCUUGGGAGUGGUAAAAUAUUGCAAAAAAGCCCUUACUUUUAGAAAAAUUCCACCCCACCUCUCACACAUUGCCACAAAAAUACUCCAUCCGAGUAAAAACCCAAAUCAAUGCCACCUCCUAAGGGUUAAAAAAAAAAAAAAAAAAAGGGACUCAGAUCUCAAAAAACCCAAAUAAAUCCUCAAAGCUCAAAAUCUUAAGAACCCAAUUUUAUAAACACGCCAAAGAUCCAGGAGCAAAAAAGAAGAUCGAGAACGGUGACACGUGCAUGUGAGGGGAUUAAGACACCGCUUAUGUAAUUAAGUUUUUUUUUUUAUGUGAGGAUAUAUAAAUAUAAAAAUAGCUAAAAAUGGAAGUGGGAGUAAACUGGAAGAGCAAAAAGAAAGAACAAAUAAGUAAAUUGGAGCUUCUUUUUAGUGGCAAGGUCUUUGAUUGGGAGAAUGGAGCAAAAGCGCUUCCUAAAAAAGCUGGUCCUUUUCCAAAAUCUCUCUCUCUCUCUCUCUCUCUCUCUCUCACUCACUCACUCACUCACUCUAACAACAUAUUUUCAAAUAUAAGAAAAAUAUAACUAAUCAGAGAUAAAAUACUUAAUUUUAAUUAGUAAAUAAGAUAAAUUAAUUUUUUUUAUCAGCUUUUUAUUAUUUAUGAUGGUAGAAAGUAAAAAAAUUAUCUUUGAAAAUUUUUAAAAGAAUAUUUUUGUAUAAUCCUAAUAGUUGAAGUUUUUAAAAAAACAUAUUUAUAAUGAUAAAAAUAUUAUUUUAUUUUUUUAAAAAAAAAUAAGCAGAAAAAAAUAUGAAUAUCACUGAACUUUAGUAGAAAUAAAUAAAAAAAAUUAAAUUUUAUAGGAAUAUAUUUGUAAUUUGAUAUGUUUAGAAAGAACUGUAUAAAAUUAACCCUAUUACGAAUCUGUAUACUUUAUAUUUUCUUAAAUAAAAAAUAUUUUUAUUUAACAGUAGUGAUAUAAAAAUAAUAAAAUUGGGAGCAAAUUGUUGCAUAAUUUAUAAGUACUAUGACAAAAUAAGAAACAAAUUUUCUUGUACAAAUAUAUAUAAAGAAAUGUUCCAAUCAAGAACGGCACGUGCCCCCUCGUCCCUUCCCGGUUCUACCAGAUGAAAAAUUUGAUUAAAAAAAAAGUUAAAUUACAGAAAAAAUUUUAUUAAUACUAAUUUUUUUUCUUUCUAUUAUUAAAAAUCUACACUUUAUUUCUUUAAAAAAUAAAAAAUAUUUAUUUUGAUCUCCGUCGUCAGUGUUCUGUUUAUAUCUUUCUUUUAUAUCCGAAAUAUUUCUAAAACAUUUCUCCUUCCUCGUCCAGUCGUCCUCAGCCACGCCGCUUCGCACUAUGCCGCCUCGUCCUCACCCAUCUCUCUGUCCAUGCCCACACACAUACCCUCGCUCGCCUCUGCCGCCUCACCCUCACCUACUCUCCAUCCACACCCACCUUGAAGAGGAUGAAGAGUAAUUUGAUUAUUUUGUCACAGCGCAUCGUCUGUGAAUAUUUCUUAUUUUUUAAGAGAUAAAGUGUAGGUUUUUGAAUGACAGAAGGGACAAGUGAAAAAACGGAUAUUGACGGAGAGAUUUUACAUAAUUUAGCCAAAAAAAAUGAAAAAUAAAUUAUACAUUGAUUCUCAAAUUAUAAGAGGUGUAAUGCAUUUUUUAUUAUAAUUUUUUAUUUAAAUUUUUAAAAUUACUAUAAUUAAGAUUUACAAUCAAAUAUAGAUUUAGUUUAGUAAUAAGGUGACUAGAAAUAUUACUUGUAUACUAUAAAAGGUCCAAAAUUUAAAAAAAAUGUUUACGAUCUUUUCUAAUCUAAUACUUCAAAGUUGUGAUUGUAAUCACCAUCAAAAAGACAUGUAAUCACAUGCUUCCUCGUUGUUGCAAUCGUAAUUUUUAUAAUAAAAACAAUUAAAAGUGCUCUUGAAAAUUUUAACUCUUUUAUAUUUAAUAUAAAAAUUAAUAGUAUUUUUAGCCAUAAUAUUACUAAACUAAGACUUAGUUGGUUAAAUAUUAACAAAUUAUUAAUAUAAAAAUAACAUAACAUUUUGAUUAAUAUCGCAUCAUCAAUCACAAUAUUUUUGCAUGAUCUCUACAUCAAUGAUUUACCAAUAUUUAAACAAUUAAACUUGUCGAAUAACAUUAGCCAAUUUGAGCCAAUUUGACUCGCUGAAUCAAUGAGCAUUGCAUGCUUAAGGGUGUCAGUUGUUUGUCUCAUCAAAAGUGUAGAAAGAUAAAGUGGUUACUCACUUUUGUUAUUUGGUUUACCAUAAUUUCAUCUUCGCUUGAAACUCAAGUUUUUCAUAAUAGUGUAACUGACUUCGACUCACUUCACGGCAAAGUUAAUUUUAAGAAAAAAGUGAAAAGAAAAUAAUAAAAUACUAACUCAUAUCUCAUAUCUCUGACUUUAACGUCGUUUACUUUUUGCGAAACAAACAGCAAAAUUAAAAAACUUCAAUUCUACAGUAAUACAAAUAAACAGAAAAAAAAAAUAUCAAAAUUAUAAUUUAUUCAAAAAUUUAUUUCAAUCUAAACUUUACCUUCGAUAAAGCAAAAAUACUUAACAAAAGAGCCUGUAGUAAGCUCAACGGGUGAUAAUAGGGUGCAUGUGCAAAAAAAAAAAAAUUCUCAAUAAAUUGGACGAUUGGUUCUCGGAGUAUAAAGCCGCUGACAAAUUUUUUUUUUAGAGAUAGGUAUCACACUAUCCGCUUCGUUUAUUUCUGUUGGUAUCAAAAUUAAAAUUAAUAUGCCGACUUAACCCACAUAUGAGCUAAAAAAAAAGGACACGUGGUACAACAGAAGUCGGCAAUAAGGCGCCUAAAGGUCAAAAGCGUCUAGGAGGGAACGGUUGAGAAGUGGGGCGUAACUUCUAUGAUUAUGACUACACUACUUCCUCCAUUACUGUAACCAACCAAUAAUGUGGGCUGAUAAGAUAUUUUAAAUAGAAACUUUGAAGCCUGUAAUAGGGGUCUUUCUCUUCCCUGAACGAGAAGACCACCGCAUUUUCAAUACUUUACUUUCCUACAUUUAUCGUUUUUUAUGAGUAGUCUGCAUGUAAUCUUUUUUACCCGCAUUUAUUGUUUUCCUAGGAGUAGUUUUUAAGUUAGAUCUCUGAAGUCUGUAUGCCCCACGGACACACUCUGUUGUAAUCUAUAUUUUCAGAGUCUGUAUGCUCUUCGGGCAUACUAUGUUUUGUAUGAGUUUCCAACUUCAUUUUAAUAUAUAAAGGUAUUCGGCUCUUUCAGCCGAUCAGUCACUGUGUAUUCUAUCUAUUCGGCUCAUCAGCCGACCCAAAACUCUGUGAUUUCCGUACAAUCGGCUUUUACAGCUGAACCGAGUUUACAAUGAAAGUCUUCGAAUUCGGCUUAUCCGAUCUCUCAUCAGUCGAAUCGCUUGAUCCAGUCGAAGGGCGCAAACUUCGAGGGUCACUAUUUGAAGCCGUUUUUCAUCCCUACACGUUCUUCGAGGAGAAUUUUUGAUCGGAUCAAGGAUCAGUGAAUUCGGCUCCUAACAAUUUCAUUUAUAAAUAAACUUAGUUAGAAAUGUGAACCAACUAGGAUUCAAACUUGGGAUGUCGGGUACCAACCAUCAAGCCCUUUGCCACUUGUUUUAGGGACGGUCGGUACGCCGCUGACAUUUUGAUCUUCAAAUUUUAAUAUACCAUAAUAUCUGGAUUGAAAUUUUAAAAUUAUUACACUCAAAUUUUAUAACUUAAUUUUACUGGCUAAAUAUUAAUUUAUCGUUAAUACAAAAGUAAUACAACAGUAUUAUGAUUGGUGAUGUACCAAUAAUUAAAAUGCCGUAUUAUUUUUACAGCAAUAAGAUAUUAACAUCUAAUCUAUUAAAUUAGAUUGUGAAAUUUAAUUAUAACAAAUUUAAAAAGUUAAAUUUGAAAUUAUAAUAAAUUAAAAUACGAGAAUAAAAACGUUAUCCAAUUCACGCGAUUCCCGUGGUAUGCAUCCGUUACACCGGCAACGGUCAAAUAUUGGGAACCAAUAUUUUUAAAAAUCGAAUCAAAUAGGAAUUCUAAAAUAUUACGGAGCCAAUAAUAACUAGUUUAUCCGAUGAAUCAACCAUUGAUUGAAUCAGUAUCAUCAGCAUAAUAUUAUGAGUACUUAAUUAAUACAUUUAAUUUUAAAUUAUUAAAUUUUAAUAUUACUUUAUAAAAAAAAAUUAUUUAUUUUAUUAAAAUUGGACCGAUUCAAUUAUCCAUAAUUGAUCCAUUGAUUUGAGCGAUUUAAAGUAGAAUCUUGAUCGAUUCUAAAGAAUUAAAAUAGAAUUUUGAUUUAUUCGAUUCGAAUCAUAAAUUGUGUUACUUUAUAGAUUGGAUUACGACAGAAUCUUUCGAACGCCAAAUUGGACCCGAUUAUUAUUAAAUCAUUGAUUUUGGAAUUUCUUUUUCCACGCACGGGAAUAAUAAUAAUAAUAAAUAUGAAGUGACAUAGCAAUUGACAUCCACGUGCGCCCGGUGCUCGAACUUGGGAGUCACGUGCAGAGACAGGUUCGUGGACCCGUUCUACCACGUCACCGGUAGAACCAAGCAGAGUUUAGUAUACGCACAUACAAGAUAGAAACGGGUGAAAACAAGAACUUAUAAUGCAAACGGGUCGGAUCUUGAGGCGGGACUCGCCCCGUUUUCUUAAUGGAUUGGAUUGGGACAUGUUGAUUUUUAUCCUACUUUUUUUUCUCUCACUUACUAUUUUACUUGGGAUUGUGAUGGAUUUUUAACAAAUUUUUAGUAAAUCAAGACAAAUAAAAAAAAAGUGAUAUUUUGUUUUGGUUAAAUUACAGAAAAUUCCUCUGUCAAAAUUUGUUUUUUCACUUUCUUUCCUAUCAUUUAAAAACCUAUACUUUGCCCUCUUGUAAAAUAAAAAAUGUGCACUUCACCCUCUACCGUUAGUGAUCCUUUAGGAUUCUGUUAUAAAAUAUUUUUUUAUGCCAAAAAUACCCCUCCGUCUUCUUUCCUGUUGCUUCGCUUCCUCCGCCUCGCCGCCUCGCCCUCCUCCACUGCCUCGCCCUGGCCCACAUCUCCGUCUGCGCCGAUAACCACCCCCUCGCCCUCAUCCGCCGCCUCGACUUCGCCCUUGUCGCCAUUGCCACCUCUCCAUCCACGCCCAUCUCGAUUUCCUCCGUACUAUUGCUGAAAUCAAGGUGGUACGAGGGUGCAAAGGAGAAGGGGAGCAUGUGGAGAAGAAAAUGGAGAGAAAUCGCGGCCGAUCGAGGGGCAAACUGCAGUCGAUCGAGUCCGCGGAUGAGGAGGAUGAGGGACAAGACGAAAAUGACGAAGAGCAAAAUGGUCAUUUUGUCACCACAGUUCACACCGUACCUCCUGUGCACAUUUUUAAUUUUAUAAAAGGACAAAGUGUAAGUUUUUAAAUGAUAAAAAAAAAAAAAGUGAAAAAGCGGGGCGAUUUUUUGAAAUUUAGCCUUUUGUUUUUCACUUCAUAUCCUUAGCAGAUCGGAAGGGUUCAAUAAUUUUUUUUUAUUUUUCGCUAUGUUCGAAAGCGCACCAAGCCAGAUGAAUAUGCAAUCCUAUUUAUGCUUUAAUUUGCUUUCAUUAUAUUAUUUCAUAAUAUAAAAAUAUUGUACAUUUGUAUUGUAAAUUAUCAUACAAUUUUUCGCGCAGAAUAAUUUUGCUGCGUAUCAGCAACAUAACCGCCCCACGUGGAGGGAAAAAGAAGCUACAAAAAUGUGGUCCUAUGCAAUGAUGAGGGUUUUCAAUUAAGUAGCAUCAAUAAUUAAAAUAGUGAUGUUUUGACAAUCUCAUGAUGUUUUAGAAUGGAUAAACGAAUAAAAAUUAUUUAUAUUAUUAUUGAUAUUAAAAUUGAGCCGAUCUAACCCACGUAUGAACCAAUAAGGACACGUGCUAUACUAGGAGUCGGCAAUGAGGCGUCUGAAGAACAAGAAGGCGGGAACGGUUGAAGAUUGGGGCGUAACUUUCAUGAGGAGUUAGCGUAACUUUCAUGAGAAGUUAGUAUAACUUCCACGAUCAUGGUUACAACAACUCCCUCCAACUACUUUCAACCAACUAAUAAUGUGGGCUAUAAAUAGUAACUUUGAAGCAUGCAAUAGAGAUCUUUGCCCCUGCGCACAAAAGAUCACAUUUAUUUCCCUGCAUCUUUCUUUCUCGCAUUUACUGCUUUUCCUAGGAGAAGUCCCUGUAACUUAGAUAUUUGGAGUCUGUCUGCCCCAUGGGCAUCACUCCCUUGUUGAAUAUAUUUGGAGUCUGUCUGCCCCAAGGGCAUCACUCCCCUGUUCUUGUACUCUUCCAUUUCCUAUUCAAUAGAAAGUCACGUUCGGCUAUUCGGGCCGACCAGAUUUUGUGUUGUGCUAGCCAUUUGGCUCAUCUCCGGGCUUAAUUUUCGACUUUCUCCGCACAUUCGGCUCAUCCAGCCGAACCGGAAAAUGAAAAGAGCUUUCGGACCCGGCUAAUUCGAUUCCUCAUCAGCCGAAUCGCUUGAUCCAGUCGAAGGGCGCAAACUUCGAGGGUCACUAUCCGCAGCCGUUCCUCACCCCGACACGCUCCACGAGGAGGAUCUUUGACCGGGUCAAAGGUCGGGAAAUUCGACUACCAAUAAAUUUUGGCACGCCCGGUGGGACUCGAUUUUAGGUAAAUUCACAUUUUUAUUGAAAUUAUGGCUAAUGAUAAUGUCAUGAAUUUGCGCAAUAGGGUUGUUCCUAGAAAUUCUGGGAGUGAUCAACCUAGUGAUUCAGACAAUGCUGGCGAUGUCAAGCAGUUUUGCCAGUUGAAGGAGAAAUUAGUGGACAGUCGGCUUAUCAAGAGCCGAGUCUAACUUAGGCGCUCGGCCAGAUAAGCCGAGUUCUGCAAACUUUAGAUCAAAAUAUCCAUCAAAGUACCGCUCAACUAGACGCGGUGCUGGCCGCCAUCACGGCCUAUAAUGAAAAUAUUGCACGAAUAGGGCAAUUAUUGACUCGAAAUGAGCAACCAAUGACAGGCUUACAAGGGCCUAUGAUGACACCAGUAUUGCAAAAUCCUGCGAUAAAGAUAAAUAGACAGCCCCAAUACCAGAGGGCACAAUUCCAAGUGGCUUACAGACCGGCCGUCAUCAAUACCGGUCAACAGCCGAAAAUUACAUGGGGAUUGCCAUCACCUCCGCCGAUGGCAACAUACCAGCCCCAAAAUGUAGGGGCUAGAGCUGGGGGGCAUGCUCUAAAUAUUCAAGGAGCAUAUCUCAUAGUACAAAACUUCGGACCAUUACAAGGACCGAAUGCAGCACAAGCACAAGUUCCUUUGCAGGGAAAUAAUAAUGAAAUAUAUGCGAAGCCAUCCGAAAUACUUUUGGAGUUGGCGCAAGACCGGCAGUGCGGCCUGUAUUUUGUUCCCCUUAUCCCGCGAGCAUAGACGCAGAACAUCCGUAUCUGGCAAACUGAAAAAUGCCGAAGUUCGAUAAGUUCUCGGGCGAUGAGACCGAGAAUACGGUCGAACAUGUAGCCCGGUUCACGGCCGAAUGCAGAGAAGCGGCCGCUGACUUAUUUUUGAAACUUCGAUUAUUUAACACGUCGUUAACUAAAAUGCCGUUUACUUGGUAUACAAGUUUAUCAGCCAAUUUCGUCCAAGAUUGGGACAAAUUGGAAAGAAAAUUUCAUGAGUGAUUCUAUAGGUCGGAACCACAAUUAUCGGUCGCCGACUUGACUUUAUACCGACAAAUGUCGGGUGAAACGGUCGAAGAGUAUUUGAACCGUUUCAAAAUAGCCAAAACCCGGUGCUUUAUGAGAAUGCCGGAAUCAGAGUUUGCCAAAAUAGCGUUAAAUGGUCAGCAUUUUAAGAUAAAAGAUCAUUUUGAAGAUAAACAUUUUUCUAACCUAUUUGAUUUAGGUGCUCGAGUUGCCAAAUACGAGCAAUUUCAGAAGAAAAGUGAGGACGAUCGGCUGCAAUGGAGCCGAUAUAAAAAUCAAAGCAAAGGCAAGGAGAAAUCCUUGCUAGAAGAACAGUCGGUUCAAGAAGAGCCGAGCCAAUCGAGUGAAAGUGAAGAAUCGGCUGAUGAAACCGAGAUAUAGCCACUUUCUUUAAGAAGAAUUUCUUGAUAGAAAAACAUUCGGUUCAAGAAGAGCCGAACUAAUCGAAUAAAAGUAAAGAAUCGGCUAAUGAAGUCAAGAUAUAUGUGGCUGGGAUGAUAAAGCGCUGUUUUCCUAAAGCCGACUAAGACUAGCGAAACUAAAGCUUGGGUCUCGGCUGUGCUUUUGAACAGUCGAUUUGGCACCAAUAGUCAUCCGAAUGUUCAUUCGAAAGACUAUUGGUGGGGGCAUUGUUGAUACCAAAAUUGAGCCGACAUAACCCACGUAUGAGCCAAUAAGGACACGUGGUACACCAGGAGUCGGCAAUAAGGCGCCUGAAGGACAAGAAGGCGGGAACGGUUGAAGAUUGGGGCGUAACUUCCAUAAAGAGUUAGCGUAACUUCUAUGAGGAGUUAGUUUAACUUUCACGAUCAUGGUUACAAUCACUCCCUCCAACUACUUUCAACCAACUAAUAAUGUGGGUUAUAAAUAGUAACUUUGAAGCCUGCAAUAGAGGUCUUCGCCCCUGCGCACAAAAGACCACCUUUAUUUCCUUGCAUCUUUCUUUCUCGCAUUUACUGUUUUUCCUAGGAGUAGUUCCUGUAACUUAGAUAUUUGGAGUCUGUCUGCCCCAUGAGCAUCAAUCCCUUGUAGAAUAUAUUUGGAGUCUGUCUGCCCCACAAGCAUCACUCCCAUGUUCUUGUACUCUUCCAUUCCCUAUUCAAUAGAAAGUCACAUUCGGCUAUUCGGGCCGACCAGAUUUUGUAUUGUACUAGCCAUUCGGCUCAUCUUCCGGCUUAAUUUUCGACUUUCUCCGCACAUUCGGCUCAUCCAGCCGAAUCAGAGAGUGAAAAGAGCUUUUGGACCCGGCUGAUUCGAUCUCUCAUCAGCCGAAUCGCUUGAUCCAAUCGAAGGGCGCAAACUUCGAGGGUCACUAUCCACAGCCGUUUCUCAUCCCGACACGCUCCACGAGAAGGAUCUUUGACCGGGUCAAAAGUCGAGAAAUUCGACUACCAACAAUUUUAUAUAUAUAUAUAUAUAUAUAUAUAUAUAUAUAUAUAUAUAAUUUUUAAAUCUAAAAAUAACAUGACAAAAUAUAAUAAAAAAAAGGGAAAACUUCAAAAACCCCCCCUGUGGUUUCAUGCAUUCUCACUUUAGUACUCUGUGGUUUAAAACGUAUCAAUUUGCCCCCCCGUGGUUUCGUUUUUAUCUUUUCAGAAGCUUUUUCGUUAAUAUUUCGUUAAAUUAUAUACAAAAAACUUCAGAUAACCAUCUAUGUUUAUCGAAUAUUCACUUUAGUAUCCUUUAAUUUUAAUUUUGUUACUGAUUUAAAAAAAAAAUAAUAAAAUUGAUAACAAAAAGAGAAAAAUGAAACCACAGGGGGACAAAUUGGUACGUUUUAAACCACAGGGUAUGAAAGUGAGAAUGCAUGAAACCACAGGGGGGGGUUUUUGAAGUUUUCCCUAAAAAAAAUCACCAAUACAUGCAUCUUAUAUCGUACGUCAAUCCUCAAAAGAAUAUAGAAAAAAAUUAUGAAAAAUCCGUAACAUUUUUUCUUUUUGGGAAAAAAAAUAAAAAUUGUGUGGGAAUUGAUGCACGCAAUGAUUGCCGGUGCAUGGGAUGACAUGGCGCAUGCGGUGCAAGUAACAAUUUGAAAAAAAAAAUUUAUUUAUUUAUAUUAUAUGUAUAUAUUUUAUUAUUAGUAUUUAUUUUAUUAUUAUUUUUUUGAUGUACCCCCGUAUUUGAAAAAGAUUGAAAAGGUAUUUGAGGCGACGCGCGAGAUCAAGCGGGAAAAAAUUUCAGUGCGAAUUAUAGAAAUUGGGAGUUUUAUUUUGAAAAAACUUUAAAUACUAUCUCUAUAAUUUUACAUUUUUUUUAAAUUUUAGUACUAUAUGAUUUAUAGUGUAUCAAUUUAGUACCCUAGUUUUAUUUUUCUCUUUUUAUUACCCUUUCACUAAUUUUUUACGUUAAAUUAAUGACAAAAUUAAAACUAAAAGGUAUUAAAACAAAUAUUCGAUAAACUUAGGUGGAGUAUCUGAAGUUUUUUGUAUAUAAUUUAACGAAAUGUUAAUAGGGGAGCUGAUAAAAAAAAAAAAAACCAUAAGGUACUAAAUUGAUGUACUUUAAAGUUUAAACCACAUGGUAUUUAAAGUUUACCUUUUUAUUUUUAUAUUUUAUAUAAAAAUUUGUUGGAUAUUUUUUAAAUAUUAAAAUUUAAAAUAAAUUUUAAUUAAUAAAAAUAAAGUAAUAUUUUAUAUAUGUGGCAAUAUUUGCAGAGGUUCCCGCUCAAAUUUUUGGACGCGGAAAAAUGUAAAUUCCGUACUGGUGGGGCCCAAACGGGGAAGAAACCACUGCACCCGGUGCAAACAUACACUUCAUGAACCACAACCAUCUACUGCCGAAUAUUUGAAUAUUUUUUAAUUAAAAAAUAAUUUUCUCCGCCGAGACUGAGGCA
rnacentral:lncRNA from 1 species